rnacentral:lncRNA from 1 species
CAUAUUUUUUAUAAUCAUUUAUAGCAUCAUCAAAUAGCUUUCUCAAACUGUGUUUUGAUUCAUCUCCAUAGCUUGACAUCAACAUAGGCCCCAUAACAACCUAUAGAAGAAGGCACAUCAAAUCAUAAGAUCCAAGCCAAAUAACUCUAGGAAGAAAAGACUUCGAAAAUAUGAGUUCAAUAUUUUCAUUUUGUAGCCAGUAAAAGAAAAUGUAACAAAUCAUAAAUCCACAAUUGCUUUCUGAAUGUAUUACUAAUGUAUCAGAGACAAAUAUCGGGGCAUGUAAAAAACUGACUCGUACGUAAAUUAUGCAUAAGCAGUUAUCCUAUCUUCUCUCAAUUUGAUUUUUAGAACGUCUCAUUAUUCAUUAUAGCUAUUACAGUUUAAAAUCCAAGAUAUUGCCAAGUAAAAAUUUUGUGUGCAUUUGUAUAAUUGUAAAGUGGGAGGGAGAUAUCAGAUUCCUUAGCGUGUAGCAUCUUUGCAAGUGCUUUUGCCAAUAAUGUUUUCCCAGUCCCAGGUGGCCCAUAGAGAAGCAUCCCUUUAACAUUAUUGAUCUUUAACCUGCAAUGUCAAGAACACUGAUUUUAUGAAGUACAAUCAAAUAACAGUGAAAACAAAACGAUUUCAAAAUAAAAGGGCCAAAUGAUAAAUAAUAUAUACAUAUACAAACUUUUUGCAUAUUUUAAAAGGCAGUUACAACUUACCUUGGGUGAAUUACUAUUAAGUUCCUCUAUCAUAAUGAAAUACAAUAGAUUUCCAAAAAUUUAUUUGAUAGGUAUUUAACUCCAGUUAACUAUUACUGCUGUGUGAAGGGAAUUUUCAUUCAAUAUUAUGUAAAAAAUUGUUACAACCCGAUUUAUACAUGGGACUAAGGCUAUAUGGAACUACCUAAUCUAUCCUUUACAAUAAAGAAUAAGUCACUAAACAUAUACAAACAUACAAGAAAAGACAAUACAAGACACUCCAAAAUUCAAAAAUUCAACUAGUUUCUAAGAAAUUCUUUUUUUUUUUUCCUUUUCUUUUUGGGACUGAUAUGCAUUUGGCCCAUCUUUGAUUCCUAUAUGAUGGGAAUGGGAUGUGCAUAUAUUAACAAGUACAUGAAUUUAUUUUACAUUUGUCUAGUUACUAUAGUUGAAUAUAAAACCUUUUAGGCAAUGUGCGUUUAGCAUCUAUUUCAGAGCCCAAUUAUUUAACUAGGUAAUAUAUAUAUAUAUAUAUAUAUUUUUUUUUUUUUUUUUAAUUCAACAUGACCUUGUAAGAAAGAAAGAAGAGAUUGAGAGUGAAUAGGAAGGAAGCUUGAUUAUUCCCAUACUAGGGUACAUAUAAUACAGAAGAUUCUAUAUGGGUGAUUAAUCCCAUAAUUACAACCUAUACUGCAGCAUAUUAGUCCUCUAAUUAAAGCCACACAAUCACAACCAUAAUUUCAACAUUUGAACACUUCCCCUUCAAGCUGUUAUGUACAUGUCACAUGUUCAUAAGUUGUCAUAGAUGUAUUCAAUUUGAGAACCUCUAAGAGAUUUUAUUAAAGACAUCUGCUAAUUAAUCACUUGAAUUGAUAAUGGUGAUAGCAAUGCAUCCCUACUCAAUUCUCUGCCUGAUAAAAUAACAAUCUACCUCUACAUGUUUUGUUCUUUCUUGAAACACUAGAUUGAGGCGAUACGAAGUGCAGUUAUGAUAUACCAAUUUUAUUUGUUUAACUCCUCCACAUCUUAACUUUUUAAGAAGUUCAUUUAGCCAAGUAAGUUUACAAGUGGCCAAGGCCAUAUGAUCUAGGUACAAUAAAACCUCUAUAAACUGAUAAUGUUGGGACCGUGAAAUUUUAUUAAUUCUGAGUAGUAUUAAUUAAUCAAAUAAUUUAAUUAUUUAUCAAUUUAAAGAGUUCUUUUUUUAUUCAACAAAUAUAAAUCUAAUUAUAUAAAAAAUCAUUGUAUGUAUUUCACUACUAUAAUGUAUCAUAUUUCGCGAAUUAAUUUAAAAAGAAAAUUCAUUUUACAUAUAUAAUUACUAUUUAAUGACAUUGUUUUUAAGCAUCAUCAUAUUUCGUGUUAAAAAUUAAGUAGUAAUUUUUAUCACAAAAUACGAGGGUAUUCACUCUUUUUAAUAACAUUCAACAUAUGAUGAUGAAGGGAACUACAGACGAGGCGACCCAGGAAUGAAAAGCCCCAUUGCCUAGUGCUCUGGAACUCGGUUAAACAAAAAAGGUUCAAUCUUGAGAAAUCAUGUACUAUAUAAACAAUAUAGAAAAGUCCUUCAAAUCAUACCCCACAAUGGCUUCUCAUCUAGAAGGUAUCCAGAGAUCAACCAUGACUGAUCAAAUACGUAAAGCAUUAUGUGGGUAUAAGGGAGAUCACACCACAUGCACUUAAGAUAGAUCACACCACAUGCACUCAAAGCAGUGGCUUGAUGAAAAAUAUAAUUUGAAAUUUAGUCAAGGUACAAUAUCAAACACUCUCAAACGAUCAUCUGAGUACCUUUCGACUAACUUAGAAAAACCAAGCGACACAGACCAGAAACAUUUCCAUAAAUGGAAAAGGUUAUUUAUGAGUGGUUUCUCCAAUACCAAGAUCGUGUAAAUAUAACUGGAGAUCUAAUUUUGGAGAAGGCAAGGGAGACGAUGAAACUUUUAUACCCUCAACAGCCUUUUGAGUACCACCUUUCUCAAGGUUGGCUUGAGAAGUUCAAGCUAAGACAUGGUAUCAAGUCAUUAUGUUGUUUCGGAGAGAGUGGUUCGAUUGACACACAAGACAUGGAGAAGAAAUUGGAGUCCAUAAGGGAAAAAAUAGACCAUUUCCCUAUGAAAGAUGCUUUUAAUAUGGAUGAAACUGGUUUAUUUUACGGGUUACAAGUUGAUCAUUCUCUUGCAACGAAGCAGCUUGAAGGAAGAAAACAGGACAAAGACAGACUUAUAAUUGUUAUUUGUUGCAAUGAGGAUGGCUAAAAAAAAAUUCCUUUAUGGAUUAUUGGAAAAAUAUAAAAAUUAUACAAAUAGAUCUAUUAUUAUGUUAUUUUAAUUAUCUUAUAAUUAAUUCAAAUUUUUUUUCAAAUUUUUUGUUUUUGAAAAAUAAGUAAAAAUCAUGUAUUGAUGUGUCCUACCACCAUCCAACAUGUUUAUAUUUAACCCAUUGCUUAACAUGUAAUUUUUAGGUGAUAAUGUAAUUUUCUUAUUAUGGAAAAAAAUAAUGGUGUUCUUGACCUAAUUAACACUCGAGGAUCCCUGGUUUCAAAAGCUAAUUAUCAAGUCCCUAAAUUUUGAUUCUAUUAAUAGUUUCGUCCUUCUGUUCAAGAUUAUCAAUUUUUCUAUUAAUCUUAACAAUUUAAGAUAGUCUAAUGAGAGACAAAUUUUAAUCCCAAUAAACACCCCAUCAGACCCAAGAACUCCCUUAUCACCGACCCAACCUACGCCACCAGCUCUAUUUUCACUUUAUUCAAUGCAGCAGCCUCCUUCACAUAGGUCGCUCCUCUUUCACAAGUAUAUCAAUCUCAACAAAAAUCAAAGUCUCUUAAAGUAUUUAGUCUUCUCCAUCAAUACAAAACUCUCUAUUUUUCCUUUAUAAUUCUUGAUUUUCUUGAAAUCAAACUGGAGUGGGUUUCUGAAAUCAAAGUAGGCUUGCAAAAUCGAGGCAUGCCCAGAGGCUAAAGUCAUUACCAUCAACAAGGUCACGAAUUGCAUCGACUCUAAUUGUGACUCCUUACCAACUGACCUACAGUCCAUGCCUCAAACAGAUCACAUUGAUAGCCUCCUCGCAAAUUAAAAUUACAUGAGGUUGUCUAAUUAGGUACUUUAUUGCUAUUUGCAACUAUGGUUUGCAAGCUUUUUUUUUUUGUCUUGGGUUUUUGUUGUUUUGGGGGGGGGGGGGGGGGGGGGGGUGGGGGCUUUAGAAAAAUUAAUCCGCUGGAGAUUACUUUCUUUAGGAGCUAAAACCCUUGUAAGUGUUACUUUUCAUAUGCAAGUAUUUUGAAAAAUGAUGAAAAGUUGUAUUUUUUUUGAGAUACAAUUGAGGAAGGAUUUAAAUUGUUUGAUUAGGUGUAAUUUAGAAUAAAGAAAUAAUUUUGAUUUUGAUACAUUGCUUUUAAUAGCACAUUCAGAGUGCUUUUUAAUUUUACAUUUUAGAGAUUCACUGCAGAAAUUCGUUAGGAGUUUGUGGUUGAUAUUACUACUGAUGAUCAGUGAUUGAGUUGGUUCUGGAUUUGUCUAUGUGCUUGUCUCUGCAUUUUUUGGGUUUCUUUCUUGUUGCAGUUAGGGUUUGUUUCUAGAAAUUUGGUCUUGUGGUGGAAGAGGAGAUGGUGUUGACAACAGUUUGAUAAUGUUAUUUUUGAAUUAGGGUAUUUUGUACUUACACAUCGAUUUGACAACUAGAAGUGAGUGUUUUGAACGGAAUGAUGCAACUAUUAACAAAAUCAAAAUUUAGGGACCUUAUAGUUGCCUCUUUUAAAAUAAGGUUCUCAAGUGUUAAUUAGGUCAAAUCUCAGGGACAUGAUUAUUUUUUUCCCCUUAUUAUUAUUAUUUUUUUUUUUUUGCAACCCUAUGCAUAAGGAUGCGAAGCGGCUUUUUUGGGUAUCAUCCGCAAAAACCUAUUCAAAACAGGUUUAGAUUUUAAUUAAAUAAGCCUAGAACAAGUAUGGGUAUUAAAUUCACUACAAUGCAGGUCUGGGCCUAGAUUAAUUAAAUAUUUCAAGUGAAAAAGUUAAGUGCAUGUUAGAUUUAAGAUAGGAAUAUAAUUUGGGCUUAAAAUUUUGUUAAAAUUAAUAUAAAUUAACCCAUGCCCAAGACUCCAAACCUUAAUAUCAUCAAAUGUGAAACAAAUCAAUCACCAAAAGAAAAAUAUUAAAAAAUUUUACACGACUAGGAUUUUGGAAUUGUCUAUCAUUUAUGCUUCUCUUUUAUAGUUCUUUGUCCAACUCAUAAAGCAAGUUUGUAUUAGUUAAAUGGGUUUAGUACAUAUGCGGAUAUUAAAAUUUUAAAUCGAUUUGGAUAUAGAUAUUUCAAAAGGAAAUUUAAACGGGUUUGGAAUAGGCCUAGGUAUCAAAAUUUUAAAUGGAUUUUAAUAUGGUUGUGCCUAUAGCACAUUUCAUAAAAAUAACAUUAUACAUACAAUCGAAAAAUCAAUCAAGAUGAUAGUUUUACCAAUAUUAAAAAUAUAACUGGCAAACAAUGGUUUCUUGUGUUUUCAAUUGGGAGACACAAAUCUCAAUUUAAGCCUGAGUUUCAUGAAGGCAUACCUCAAUUAUCAAAUGGGGCAUUUUUUGUAACCUUGUGGGGUAAGAAUAAGUAAUCUAAUGAAGACAAAUCCAGCUAACACAUGUAAUCUACAAGGAAAGCCUUAGGUGCAAUGGAAAAAUCACAUUAUACAUACAAUCGAAAAAUCAGUCAAGAUGAUAGUUUUACCAAUAUUAAAAAUAUAACUCGCAAACAAUGGUUUCUUGUGUUUUCAAUUGGGAGACACUAAUCUCAAUUUAAGCUCGGGUUUCUUGAAGCCAUACCCCAAUUUUCAAAUGGAACAUUUUUGUAACCUUUUGGGGUAAGAAUAAGUAAUCUAAUGAAGACAAAUCCAACUAACACAUGUAAUCUACAAGGAAAGCAUUAGAUAGCAAAGGCGGCAACCUACUCUACUCUAUUAUAAUUUCCACGCUAUUCCUACAAUAAGGUUAGAUUGGCACCUACUCUAUUAUAAUUCCCACGCUUUACGCCUUAUGCUCACUUUUUAACAUCAACCAAAUUCACUUCUAACAACACUAUGGAACCCAAUAUUGUCAUGUAUCCCUAAGCUAUCAUGUUCAAGACCAACAUGUAUCUUCCAAUGUGGAAGCCAAUACUAUUGUCAGGAAUUUCUAAGGUAUGAUGUUCAAGACCGACAACUAAACUUGAGAAUAAUCUAAGGAAGAAGUGAAAUAAAGCUAAUAACAGCAACACAAUAUAUUAACUAAAAAUUUCCCAAAAAAUGCAGUGCUCCAUUUAAGUAUGAGAAAAUGACUUGCAGAGUCAAAGAAUUCCCAACUUGGCAAUAAUAAAAUUGAGGCCAAAGUAUACAAAGUAUGAUAUAUCAAUGACUUCAAUUGAUACAAGCAUUUGCAUGGUUUGAACUCCAGAAGCAGAAUCGGAAAUGAAAUAGCUUUUUUUCUCAAGUGUUUGAUUUGAAAGGGAACAAAAAUUUGGUUCCUUACAAAAUUGGUCUUUUUAGCGCAAGAUUAGAAUUAAACAAUAUAUAGUUCACAUGGUAAUACUGAAUAGUUUCACUUGAUCCCCAUAGGAAUAGUGAUCUCACCAGGGUAGGUCAUUCCCUAUUUGGUCUUGAUUCUGAUUCUAAGCAUAUUUUUUUGGUGAACGAAAUGCCCUUUAGAGGUUUCCAAUGCAGAAAACCUCUAACAUUGUAGACUCCAGGGACACUGGAUGCAUUUAGCCUUCCCACAUUGCAAGGAGAUCAUUGCAGUUUAAACUUUUAACUUUAAACUUUAAAUUGAUGACCUCCAUGUCACAAUAGAGCAACUAACUUCUAUAGUAUUCACAGCAAGUUUCAAGUUUUUUAAAAUAUAGGAUAAAGUCAUUGUUUGGUUGAAUGAAUUAACAAAGAAGGAAUGAAUCAUGUAUUCAAGUGGGUUUUACAACACAAAUUUUGCAGAACUUUUGCACCGAAUGAAUAAUUUGAUUCGCACACAACAAACAACUUAAUACCACCUAAAUAGUGAUCAAGUUCGGCUUAAACCAACCCAACACGAGUAACAUGAAGGGUAUUAACAAGAUACGAACUAGAAUCUAGUACUGGGAUUUCCAAAAAUUUCAUGCUAAAAUCAAAGUGAAAAUUUGAGGAAAAACAAUUGCAAUGAAGAUCUUUUAAGCAAACCAGAUAUAAUGUUUGGGAGGUACAGAUAUCUUAUGUAAAAAGUGGAUAUAUAUAUGGGUUUUACAACACAAAUUUUGCAGAACUUUUGCACCGAAUGAAUAAUUUGAUUCGCACACAACAAACAACUUAAUACCACCUAAAUAGUGAUCAAGUUCGGCUUAAACCAACCCAACACGAGUAACAUGAAGGGUAUUAACAAGAUACGAACUAGAAUCUAGUACUGGGAUUUCCAAAAAUUUCAUGCUAAAAUCAAAGUGAAAAUUUGAGGAAAAACAAUUGCAAUGAAGAUCUUUUAAGCAAACCAGAUAUAAUGUUUGGGAGGUACAGAUAUCUUAUGUAAAAAGUGGAUAUAUAUAUAUAUAUAUAUAUAUAUAUAUAUUAAGGGUAAAAAUGGGUAAAAUAACUUUUAUCAAUAUGCUUUUCUGUCAAACAAUGCAAUCCAAAUGGGACGGAGGGAGUAUUAUUAUAAUAUAAAAAUAUAAGCCUGACCUACUGAUUAUAAAAGAAGACUAACAGUUGAGAUAAAUUGGAAAAUAAGAGAAUGAUAAAUUUGGUUUUAUCUAUUGAGUAUUCUCACCGUGUAAAUUGCCCAGCGCUUCGCAAUGAAGUAUCAAACACCUUUUCCAUGAUAAAAUCGUAAAUUUUAGCCAAUCCACCAACACCAAGUGACAUUAAUUCCUUUUCUGUAUCGUCUUCUAAAUCUGUAUCCCCUUCGAAUGUUAUUCGAUCACAGGCGGCUACAUCAUUAACCUGUAAAACAAAAUUCAUUAUUGUUCUGGUAGUCCAGAGUAAGAUUUUUACAAGCUUCUUACCUGAUGAUUUUUUUUCCUCCACAAUUUGGUCGGUAUGAUUAUUGUGACAAAAACGUUGAAAAAUGAAACAGAUUUUCGAAUAUAUGUAUCCGACCAUGAUCGCAACUUCAGAAUAAGAGAAGAAAUAAUUUUUGAUCGUGGAUCGACUACUAUGAGAUUCAAUGAAGUUUCUUUUGACGGUUUUGUCCUUCCGCUCAACCUCAUUCCGAUCUGUGAAAGAGAGAAAUAAAUUUGGAAUUUGAAAUUGCGAGACUGCUAUUUGUUUGUGGCGAUAGUGUUCCUGCAGUCUAAUGGAUUUCCGCGUCAAUGGCCCAAAAAGAAAUUGAAAGAAAAUACAUGAGACUACUAAUCUGUCAGGUAGCAGGUAACAAGGUUACCGGUUCAUCGGGUAGCUUUUUUUAUUUUAUCUGGCGUUGUUUUCUGAGACAAGAAUUUGUCAUUUUAUUUGUGAUAACUUCAAAAAAAAAUAGAAGCAACAGAGGGGAAGUGUGAGUCCAUAAGUAAAAGCAAUAGUGUCAUUGGAACAGCGUUUGUCUUAGUGUGUGUUGUACACAUGGCGGUAGGGUUUCUGAUACCGAUUAGUUCGCAGAGAACAGAACAAAAGGACUAUGGAGAUGAUAGGGGGUAAAAGAAAAAAAACUAAAAAGAAAAAAUUAUAAAUAUAUGAGGCUACCGAUCUGUCAGGUAGCAAGUAACAAGGUUACCGGUUGAUCAGGUAGAUUUUUUUAUCAUUUUAGAACCUGCCAUUGUUUUUCUUGGAUAACUCUUACGCCAUUUUGAUCAAUAAAGUUUAAAGUUUUAAGUCAAUGGUUGUAGCUUUUGGAAUACAGAACCAAAUGCUAGUUUCAUACUAAAAGUUUUAAUAUUUAUAUAUAUGAAAGGUAAAAUUUAUUAUAUAAUAUGGCCUAAUCUACAAAAGCACCUUAAGUUUAGGCGUUGUUCGUACUAUCACUCAAAAAUUAACUUCUCUCUUCGUCACUCUAAUUUUGAAACUUCAAUAUAUAGUCACUUUAGAUUCAAAAUUCACCUAAGAUUUGCAAGAUAAUAAUAUAAAAGUGAAAUCUACCAAACCAAUUUGAUUUAAUUUAAGCCAACCUCCUAAAAUUUAUGAAACGCAUCGUUUUGAUACUGAAAAACAAAAUCCCUAAUUUCCUUUGUAGAUUUAUCAAGCUCCUUUUCUUCCUUGUUCCCUCGAUAAUCUCCUCUAUUCAAAUUUCGAUUUCCUCGUCCUCAUUUUCCUUCUCUCUUUGGUAUUAUCGUCUCUUCCGGACUCAGCAAAUGAGCUUAUGAGUUGUACAGCAGCUGGCCAACAAUAAUUUUUCUUUGAAUAGUUGUCCUUUUUCUUUCUGUAUUUGAGCUUCGAUUAAUCACACCUAGGUCUAUUUGAACUUAUGAGAUGUUUAUUUUCUUUGUGAUGUCAGAGGUGUGUUUUUAGCUACUUGGAUAUUUUUUUUUCUUGAUCUCUUUCUCUCUAUCUAUGACUCAUUGCCUGUAGUUUUCAUUUUCAUAAUCAUGCAAUUGCUUUCGCCAUAUUUUAUUCUCUCUUGUUUAAUAAUGUAUUUACUUCUUUUUUGUCUUUUCUUUAAUGGGUAAUUAUCUAAUUAUUUACAGUAUAUAUUAAAUGAAGAAUUUUAUUUCUGGAUAAAGUGAUGGAUGUUUUAUAUUUGUUUAUUAUGUGGUUUUUGAUAAUGGAAUUAUCCAUUGAUCGAUUUUUUUUUGUUUUGCAUUUGUUGGUACUUGAUGGAGCUACAAAUGAAACUAGGAAUUUUGUUUUUCAAGAUCAAAAUCCAUUUCAUAAGUUUUAGGAGGUUAGGUUAAGUUAAUUCAAGUUGGUUUGAUGGGGUCACUUUUAUGUUAUUAUAUUGCAAAACCCUAGGUGAAAUUUAAAUCUGGGGAUACAAUAUAUCUAAGUUUCAAAGUUGAGAUGCCAGAGGGACAAAGGUCAUUUUAGAAUAAUAUCACAACAACAUGAAAAGUUGAAGAUAUUUUUGUAGGUUAAGCCAUAUAAUAUGCAUAAUUUUAAAAUUAGAGUUGGUUUAGGUUAAACUAUAAAUUGGUCAGUAUGUAAAAUGUUUUUUUAUUAAGGACAAUGUUAAAUGGAUCAUUAUGAUCUGGAUCAAAACCACCAUUUAGGAAGAAAACCAUUGUAGGAUUUAAGUAGAAAUAAAACAUUGUCCUGACAUUGUUUUGGAGGAAAAGCUUAUGUGGAUCAAUAGAUGUAAUAAUUGAUAAUGAUGAAAAAGAUUUAAUAUUGUUCUUAGAAACCUGAAUUCUAGCCCUAAAUUAAUUAGCUUGGAAAAACAAAUUUGUUAAGUUGGGUAGUUAUUAGAGAUAAUCACAUUUUGCAUUGAGGAUGGAAAAGUCUAGACCCAUAGGGUCAGAGUUAAUUCCAACUAAAUGAAUAAGCCUAAAUGGCAUCAUAUUGGCGUUGAAGGAGUGCUAACAUGAAGUUUUGUUUUUAGUUGCAAUUUGCUUGUUAACAUGAAGGUCAAAUUUAUCACUUAGCUCUUAUUUUAAUCAUAUCCAUAUGAUUAGAGGAGAAGGUAUAUCAUUAUAUUGACUGGAAUUGAGGUAAAAGUGAGAGAAUACUAGUUGGAAAGGAUUGAAAGCAGCAAAAGAUUAAACUGCAGAAGCUGAGUUGGAGAAGCUUUAAAUAUGGAAGCUUGUGAUGAAAUUAAUCGUAGAAGCAGCUAUUUAAUUGAACAGUUGUUUAGUAAUAGCGGCAAUGACAGUGAUUCUAACCCCUGUGGAGAAUCCAAUGAACUGGCUGUUAAGUGGUGGAGUUAGUUGCUGACAAGAAAUGUAGGAUGGAGUUAAUGAAAGCAUAGAAUACACUUAAGAUGGAUUGUAGGUUGAUUUGCGUUGCGCUGAGGAAGGUUCAAAACAAGGUAUGUAUGUUGGGUUUCAAUAUCAAUAAUACACAGCGGAAUAAUAUAAUUAUAACAAAAUAAUUAUACUAACAGGAAUCCAUUUAAACGAUUAAAGCAAUAAAAAUUAUUUAAAAAAAUACCUCUUUUAUAGAUUCUUCAAAACUUCAAUCUACACGGCUAGGUUGUCGCAAACAAUAAGCCGUCCAAGUGUCCGGCCUCUUGUAGUAUCCACACGAAUGGACAAUUGAAACACUCUAAAACUAUUUUGGAGGGUUGAGAGGUGUUGAAAUCCUUGUAAUUAGAAUAAAUAUUGUCUUUCUUAAUUUAGGUUUAUUCCUAUUUAGAUUACUUCUUAUAUUGGAACAAUCUUUUGUGUAUAUAUAUAGUAGAGUAGAGAUUGGACAAUAACAACACAAUAUAGAGAAAUAAAACUCACUCUUUUCAAAAACUUCAUGGUAUCAGAGUCUUGCCGUGAUUUUUCAGUAUAGGUUUUUUGUCCGCAAACAGGUCUGAGUUUCAAGUACCGCUGCUAGGAGAGAAAGUUGGUCAUUACCGCCCACUUCAGAAGGAGGAGCAACCGCCGAUCAUCCUUUCGGUCAAAUCCCGUCGCCAUUUGGUCACGCGCAUGCACACAUGCGCCACCGAAAGUUUCUAGCCUUUCUUCACGCGCCAGCGCGUGCUAUGUUUUUCAAUGACCUUUGCUGACGAUUUUUGUUCCAGUGGUCUUGUUUUGAUGCUGCAACUCAAACCCACUACUCACUCUCUCCCAGUUUUGACUUUAUGGUGAUUCCUUUUUUUUUUUUCCAUCUUACGUACUGUUGCCUGUGUGAUUUCUGGUUCCGAAUUUUGAAUCAGCUAUCAAAUUUUUUAAACUGACAGUAUGGUUGACGAAAAAAAGGUAGACUUAGAUUUUCAUUCGGAGAAUCCUUCACUCGAGAUUAGUCCAGUGAAGUUAGAUGGCACAAAUUACUUGGCUUCGUCUCAGUCCUAUUUGCUAUUCAUUGAGGCUACAGAUUUGCAAGAGUAUCUUGACGAUGGAGCACCAACACCAGUUUUGACAGAUCUGAGUUAUAACAAGUGAAAAUCAGAGAACUCCCUUAUUAUGUCUUGGCUAAUCAAUUCUAAGCAGUCAACCAUUUCAUGAGGAUAUUUACUUCUUGAUACAGCUAAGAAGAUAUGGGAUGUCGCUUCACUGACUUACUCACAAAUUGGAAACUAUGCUCAGAGGUAUGAAUUGCGAUAGAAAGUUCAUGAAACCAAAUAGAGAGAUCUGACUAUCGCUCAGUAUUUUGCUGUACUUAGUGGCUUAUGGCAGGAACUAGAUUAUUACUAAGACUUUCAAGCAAAAUGUAUUGAUGAUGCAGCUCAGGUUCAGAAGUUAAUUAAAGUAGAAUGUGUGUAUGAUUUUCUAGCUGGCCUAAAUAACGAGUAUGAUCAUAUUCAAGUCCACGUUCUUGGACGAGAUCCUUUUCCAUCCUUGCGACAAGCAUACUCAUUUGUACAAUAAGAGGAGACUAGGAGGAGUGCUAUGGUUCACAAAUCUACAAUUGAUAAAGCAGGAUUAAUUACUAAUUCUGCAAGAGAACAGAUACAAGUUGCAAAGAGCAGUUCUUCAGACAUAGAUCAAUUAUUUUGUGACUAUUGCGGUAAGAAUAGGCACAUUAAGGAGUUAUGCUGGAAAUUACAUGGACACCCAACUAAAGGGUGUGCAGGGAAGUGGGUCAGCUCUUCUAGACCACCGGCACACAUAUCUGAUAGUGGAGCUUUAUCUAAGGAACCAUCUAUUGCUAGUAGCUUUUCUAAUAAGGAAGUUCAGUCCCUGAAACGAUUGUUGUCACAGCUUGAUUCUUCCUCAACUCAGACUGCAGCCUCUAAUUUUGUUAAUUCAGGUAAUGCUUUUCUAACCUUUCUUGCAAAAAUUGCAAAACCCUCUUGGAUUAUAGAUUCAGGAGCAAAUAAACAUACAAUAGGCUCUAUAAAACAUUUCGUCGCAUAUUCUAAGUAUCAAGGCAUAGAGAAAAUUCGCAUUGUGGAUGGCUCCUUAGUACCGAUUGCUGGCAUAGGGCCUAUUGACUGUACUUCCAAUAUUAAACUCUCUUCUGUUCUUCAUGUUCCUAGAUUCCCUAUUAAUCUGUUAUUUGUUAGCUUAAUCACAAAAGCGCUUAAUUGCAAGGUAACUUUUUACCUUACUCAUUGUUUAUUUCAGGAAUGGGACACAGGGAGAACAAUUGGCAGUGGUAGCUUGCGAGAUGGAUUGUAUCUAUUGAUGACGUUUGUCAUUUUUCAAAUCCGAGUACCAAUCAAGCUUUGUUUGGAACUUCUAGAAAUCCUUCCCAUGAAGUUAUUCAAUGGCAUAGGAGAUUAGGACAUCCCUCUUUUCUAUUUUAGGAAAUUUAUUUUCCACUUUGUUUACUAAGUGUGAUUUUAAUUCAUUAGUAUGUGAUCCUUGUGAACUUGCCAAACACACCAGGCAUUCUUAUUCUCCAAUUAAUAAUAAAAGUUUGUUUCCUUUUGCUACAUUCAUUCUGAUGUAUGGGGUCCUACUAAAACUGUCUCUCUUGUUGAUUAUAUAUGGUUUGUGACCUUUAUUGAUUGUUGCACUAGAUUGACUUGGGUUUAUUUGAUGAAAACAAAAAAUUAAGUUUUUCCUGUUUUCAGAACUUUCAUAAAAUGAUUUGUACUCAGUUUGAUGCGCAUGUUAAAAUCCUAAGAACUAAUAACGGUACUGAAUACAUGAAUGCAGAUUUUCAUACCUAUUUAGAUUCUAAUGGUAUUAUACAUGAAACUAGUUAUGUCAAUACUAGUGCUCAAAACGGAGUAGCUAAAAGGAAAAAUACGCAUUUAAUAAAAGUAGCUAGGUCUCUUAUGUUCACUGUGAAUCGUCCCAAACCAUAUUGGGGGGAUGCUAUUUUGACUGCUGCUUACCUUAUUAAUCAUACACCUCUUCUUACUUUAAAUUUUAAAAUUCCAUUAGAGGUUCUUCAAGGAAAAAAAAUCUUAUAUUGUACCUUUUAAAGUCUUUAGCUAUGUUUGUUUUGUUCAUCAGAAUGGUCUAAGCAAAUUAGAUCCUAAAGCCUUAAAGUGUGUGUUUGUUGGUUACUCUACUACUAAAAAAGGAUACAAGUGUUAUUAUCCUCCUUCUAGGAAAUACUUUGUAAGUAUGGAUGUUACCUUUCGGGAAUUUGAGUCUUAUUUUCCUUCCCAAUCACCUCUUCAGGGGGAGAAAUAUCAGAUGGAAGAGGUGAUGCCCAAAAUUUUUGAAUCUUAAAAUGAUAUUAUUUUAUCGGGUCAUGAAUGGUGCUACAGAGAGGGGGAUAAUAUUUUAUUUAGAUCCGAGGAAGAUAUUGAGUAUGAUUAACUAUGAAUGGGUAGUGAUUUACCAGUCUAUGAAUAGUACCACCAAUCUGUGAAUAGUACUACCGGUCCGGGAGUCGGUAUUAUUUUGGUCCGGAAAAAUUACUAUAUAUGUUUUAUAUUUUCUUUAAUAUUUUUGGAGUAUGUAUGCAUGAUUUUUAUGGAUAGAAAGUAAGUAAUGAAUAUUUUUGGAGAAUUUAGAUAAUUAGUAAAUAGUGAAUUAUGAUGCUUUAUUAAUUAAGGAAAUUUGAGGUUUAUGAUUUGUAUGUUAAGUUAAGACGGUGUCUCCGGCACCAAAUGUGGCAUCCGUCGUCGGGUCUCACAGGACUAGACGGAGGGUGUUACAAAUAUCAUAAGGAAGAGGUGAUGGAUGACAUUCCUUUUUAGAGGGAGAUUCAUGUAGACAUAGAUAAUAAGAGAGACUAACCACCCAAACCUCAAGGAAGAUUGGAUAGACCUGAUUUGAAAACCUACGCACUGCAGACUAAUACAGAUACAACCAUGGAGCAUAAGACCUCUGAUCAACUGUCCUCUCCAAUUUCAUGCUCUGAAAAUAUAGAAGAAUAAGAACCUGGUGAGUCUUCUUUAAUCCCUAUUGAUUCUGAUCCUAAUCUUGUUUCUAGCCCUUCUGACAAUGACCUUGAUAUUCCUAUUGCUCUUGGAAAAAGAGUUAGAACAUGCACUAAACAUCUCAUCUCCCAUUUUAUCUCAUAUAAUACUUUGUCCCCUUCCUAUAGAGCCUGUGUUUUGUUUAUUUCUUCUAUUUCUAUAAUGUAGGAUUGGCAAGAGACAUUAUAAGACUCAAAAUGGAAGGCUGCAAUGGUUGUGGAGAUGAGAGCUUUGGCAAAAAUGAGACAUAGGAUCUUGUAAUUCCUCCACCAAGAAAGAAGCCAGUUGGAUGUAAAUGGGUGUUCAUAGUUAAACAUAGGGCAGAUGGUAUAAUUGAGAUGUACAAGGCUAGAUUGGUAGCCAAAGGAUUCAGUCAGACCUAUGGAGUUGAUUACUAGGAAACAUUUGCCCAUGUAGUCAAGAUGAACACAAGCAGAAUUUUGUUAUCUUGUGCAGCCAAUCUUGACUGGGAGUUACAUCAGUUUGAUGUUAAAAACGCUUUUCUACAUGGUGAUUUGAAAGAAGAGGUGUAUAUGGAGAUUCCUCCUGGAUUUGAUGAUGACAAGACUAGAGGAAAAAUUUACAAGCUGAAGAAGUCAUUAUAUGGGCUGAAGCAAUCACCAAGGGCAUGGUUUGAAAGGUUUAGUAAAGCUAUGCUUUCUUUUGGGUACAUACAGAGCGAUGCUGAUCAUACUUUGUUCAUUAAACAUUAUGAAGGUAAGAUCAUAUUACUUAUUGUUUAUGUUGAUGAUAUAGUGAUGACUGGAAAUAAUAAAGAAGAAAUGACUCAUUUGAGAAGUUUGUUAGCUAGGGAGUUUUAGAUUAAGGAUUUGGAAAAGUUGAGAUAUUUCCUUAGGAUAGAAGUUGCUAGAUCAGAAAAAGGGAUUUUUAUUUCUCAAAGAAAGUACACCCUUGAUCGCCUUAAAGAAACUGGUAUGUUGGGAUGUAAACCUGCAGAACCACUGAUUGAAGUCAAUCAUAAGCUUCAAGCUGGAGUGGGAAGUUCANNNNNNNNNNNNUAUCAGAGAUUGGUCGGGAGGUUGAUUUACCUUGCCCAUACUAGACCAGAUAUUGCCUAUGCUGUAAGUUUAGUGAGUCAGUACAUGCAUGACCCUCAGGAGUCUCACUUAAAAGUUGUGCGUUGGAUUCUAAGAUAUUUAAAAUUAGCUCCAAGUAGAGGACUCUUAUUUUCUAAACAUGGCCAGUUGAUAUAACAGGCUAUACAAAUGUGGAUUGGGCUGGUUCCCUUGAUGACAGGAGAUCAACCUCAGGUUAUUGUGUUUUUGGUAGAGGAAACCUGAUCAUAUGGAGAAGCAAGAAGCAGGCUGUUGUUGCAAGGUUCAGUGCAGAAGCUGAAUAUAGAGCUAUGACACAUGGAAUCUGUGAACUCCUAUGAUUGCGCAAAUUAAUGGAAGAGUUAAAGUUGGUUGAAACAAAUAUAUCCUUAUUUUGUGAUAGUCAAGCAGUCAUCAGUAUUAUGAAUAAUCCAGUCCAGCAUGAUCAAACUAAGCACAUAGAGAUUGAUCGUCACUUUAUAAAAGAGAAGAUAGUUGAAGGUUUCAUAAAUGUCUCCUAUAUAAAUUCAAAAGAGCAACUAGCUGAUGUUUUCACAAAGGGUUUGAAUAGCAAGUUGUUUCAUCCUUUAGUUUGCAAGUUGAGUAUAUGUAAUAUUUAUGCACCAACUUAAGGGCAAGUAUUGAAAUCUUUGUAAUUAGAGUAAAUAUUGGUCUUUCCUAAUUUAGAUUUAUUCCUAUUUAGAUUACUUCCUAUAUCGGAACAAUCUUUUGUGUGUGUGUGUAUAGUAGAGAUUGGACAAUAACAACACAAUAUAGAGAAAUAAAACUCUCUUUUUAAAAAACUUCAAGAGGUUAGUGCGUAUAAUGGUGCUAGCUAUCGUAGACUCUAUGUUUAAUUUUGUAAUUAUGAGCAAUAACUUUUAUAUUUAGACUAAUCUAUCUUUAACCUUAUAUAUGAAAACCCUUAGUCAUAAAUAAAUAAAUUAUAAUUAUUUAUUUAAACCUUUUAAAUAAAUGAAUUAUAACUAAAAUAUAUAUAUCUGUCUAUUUAUUUAUUUAAACAAUUUAAAUAAAUAAAUCAUAAUACAUAUAGUAAUAGGAUUUUCAAUUUAAUCAAUUAUAUUUAUUUAUUUAACUAUUUAAAUAAAUUAAUCAUAGUUAAAAUAUUAAGUUUAUUUAAUCUUGUCACAACCCGUUUCCGUGGGUCAGACCAGCACUAUGGCCCAGGUAAGCUUAAGGCCCCCGAGGCCUGUAGUAAGCCUAAAACACUAGAAUCUAUUAUCUCAAUAUAAAUUUCAACAUUCAGCCCUUAUGACUAUGAAAAAUAAACCUCAAGAUUUUAUUAUAUCUCAGCCCAAGUUUAUCUUCUACAACAUUCCACAGUUCGGGCCUAAUUUACAAUACAUCACAUCUCUAAUAUGGGCUCACAGAAUUAUUUCGUCUAUGUUAAUACACGACUAAAUGUACGUAAAUUCUAUAACUGCGGAGUCACUAACUGUUUGAUAUACAUAGCUUCUUAUACAAAUAAUUACAUAGCAAAAUAAGUAUGGAACUAGGAAAACUUCUUUAUAGCCCUACGGCGAAGAAACAUAGCUUAAACUGAAUUAAAGAGAAACUUACUUCCUGAAAAAUUAAACAAGACAUGUGAGUUUUCUAAGGAGUCAUAAUUAUUGCACAACACACGCAUUCACACAAAUGUGUAAACACAUCAAUCUAGUCAUCCGACUAGUUAUAUGCUCACGCAGCCAGUCACACAAAUGGCAUAUCACUAGCACUCAUAAUCACUAACAUCUUUAUAUAAUCACAUCACGUGGAAAUUGGUCUGUGACGNNNNNNNNNNNNNNNNNNNNNNNNNNNNCAUGGCCCAUCCUCUCAUAACGUGUACACCAGGGAGCCGAUCCCACAUACAUGGCCGACCGGUCUAAUCCUCACUUGACCAGCCCUCUCAUUGUUUUUUCAUUAUCUCUUUUCUUUUCCAUGCCAUUAGGAGACCACCCUGUGGUUUUCCAUACCAUCCAUAUCAUAUCAUCAAGCGCACACGGGGGCGCCGAUCUCCCCAUACAUGGCCGACGGUAUCGUAGCCCGUCCUCACAGUCCCUUGUUGACCCUCUUCAUCCCAAUUCCACACAAACAUGGCAAAAACAUUGUCACAUCACAACUAAUCAAGCAUUUCAAUUAAAUGCAGACAUAUUGAUCAAUUAAACAUCGAAAUGCAAUGCACAAUUAGACAUCCAUACUCAAAUGCAAAUAAAUAAAUAAAUAGUAUUAACAAUAAUCAACAAUAAUAAAAUAAAUAAUAAUAAACAAUAAUAAGGAAAAUAAAUAAUUGAAUAAUUAAAUGAAUAAUAAUAAAAUAAUUAGAGAAUUUUAUUUAUUAUAUAUCAAUUUAAAGGAUCCAUUUGAAUAAACCUAUUAAUCAUGUUAUUAAUUAAGACUAAUCUAGAUUCUAUCGAAAUUUCGACAGAACUUCCCCUAAAAAAUAGGACUAUCUACCUGUUUAGAUAUCACAAUAUUAUUAUAUACUUAUCAAUCAAUACACACAGUCCAUCCGUCGGGCAAUCAAUCAACUUAAUUUCCAUCCUCCUUCAAUAGCAACGUCAUAGCUAACAAACCAUUUAAAUCAUCUAUCCAUUAUACAUUACUCGUUUAUACAUAUAUAUAUAUAUAUGCGUCCUUCUAAUACAACACAAAAACUCAAAUGAUUGAUGCCAACUUGCAGAAAUCAAAGUUUUCUAUGUUAAAAUCAUGGAUUAAACAUUAACUAACUAUUCCUAUCAAAAUCAAAUUUACAACUUCAAUGUACUAUACUACGCUACAAUUUACCAAAAAAAAUAAAUAAAUUGAAAUAAUUGCUGCCAAAUCUAAAAGUCUAGGCUUCAUGAUUAAAUUUUCAUAUUUUACAUACUAGCUAACUCACUACCCUAGAAGAACUUCAUUUACAACUUCAAAUACCCAUCCCAAACAUUAUAAUUCAAAGAACUAACUAAUUAACUGCUGCUAGCUCAAGGAAUUCAAAAUUUUCUAUUUAAUACCCAAAAUAUAUCCACUGGUUUGCACAUAACUUAUUAAAAUUCAAUUUAAUUUACUUAAUUACUCAAUUAAUUUCAUUAAUUAAUUAAUUUAGAAGUUAUAUAAAAAUCGAGAAUUGAGUCUUAGAGCGUACCGAUCGAAAAUCGGGCAACGAUUCCACGACCCGCACGAAGAGGAGAUUAUUCUGUCUCUUAGGGCUCGCCGGAGUGUCGCCUGCCGGUCACCGAACCGCCGCUGCCGGCUACUGUUCACGGUGGCCGAAAUGUCAAACUUCACUGGAAUCGAGCGAUUCAUACACCAUCAGACUCGAAAUCUUGUGGGGAACCUGAAUGUGAUGUCAGUUUGUGGAAUUGUUGCGUCAAUUAGCUGAAAAUAGACCCUUCCGCCGCCGUGCCCACCAUUCGCGGUUGCUCUCUAAAACUCCAGCAAAAUCACGAAUCGAUGGAGGGAAAAUGUUCAUGUGGCGGAGUGGAGUCGGUCGAGACCAUCCCCAGCACUUAAGGCUGACGAAACGGCGAGAUUUCGUUGGAAUGCUCCACCGCACGGUGCUCCACCGCACGGUGCGCCGCCUUCCAAGCACAGUCUCUAAUGAUUCAAGCCACCAUUGCGCAAACCAAAACUACCAAAGUGAUUGUCUCGUCAAGCUCUUGAGUUUAGAUUCCUUACUUGUCGAAGUUAGUGGCCAUUUGGCUGGAAAACGGGAAGGACAGGGAGGAGGAGGCUGCUGCUCACACUGAAAAAACGAAGAAAGAAGAAGAAGAGAGGAAGAAAAAGAAAAUAAGUCGGUCUCUAGAUCAUUUCGGUUCGAUUCGAAUCGGUUUGGUCUGAUUCAAUGAUUUGGCUCGAUUUUCGCUUGAUUCUUAGGUUUUUUCAUUGGUUUUCAAGUUAUUCGUGUGGUUUUGAAAAAUCAAUUUGAUUUCCAGGUCCGGUUCAAUUUAUUUGAUUAUUUUAAUUAGGUUCCGUAAUGUUUCCUCCAUUAACUCAAUAAAAAUAAAAAUAUAAAUAGUAAUGAUAUUUGAUUUUUUUUAGGAAAAUUAAUUUACAUAUAUAUACAUAAUAGAUUAAUUGCUGGAGUUUCAUAUUAUUUUUCGAAAAUUUAACUGUUCUCAAUUCAAAAAUUUCGACAAUAGAUUUGGGCUUGGGCCCAACUCGCAAAACCUGGACUCAAAUUAAGAUUAUUUGGUAUUUACAGCCCAUAUCGUCAAAAAAAUUCGAAUUUUUGAUUUAAUAAAAAUUCUAAAGUUUUGAAAAUACAAUUUCAGGGUGUUUCAAAUCUAAAAUUUUUCUUAAUAAAUUUUAGACAUAAAUCAAUUAAGUCAAUACUUAAUAAUUUAGAUAAAAUUGUAAUUAAAUAUAAAUUGCAAUUUUGCACUUAAUGUCCCAAAACUAAUUUGUAAUCAAGUCAUACUUGAUUCGAUUUCUCAUUUUCACUUUUUCAUAUCCAUUCUUAUGUGUGUGACCUUCUAGGUUCCAAAAAUGUUGGCAACAAAUAUAAAUUUACUUAAUUAAUUAAUAUUUAAAGGUCAAGUACAUUGUCUAGCAACAUGUCAAGACUACUCAAAUAUUUGAAAAGUCAAGGUGGUUUGACUUAACCUUUCAAUGCAUGAGUUAUCAGUGUAAUUAAUGUCCCUUCAUCAUUAAUAUUCUGAUUGAGUAAUAAGACAUGGAGUGUGUCUGGUUUACUAAAACAUGUUUGGUUUCUUAAUAUAGCCAUUGAUCAUUUGAAUGAAAUUCCAAAUCUAAUUUGCUAAUUUCAUUCGAGCUUGCGCAAGGAUUUCUUAAUCAAUACCAGUAUAGAACAAUUACAACAUUUUCUCUGAUUUACCUAGGGUAAUGAAUCCUUUCUUAAUUACACAAGUAUCUCCAUACGGAUCCUACUAUGUCCAAAAAAUCAUUGUUUAUUAUUCAUGAAUGAAUAAUGUGUAUGAAGAAUCAAAAUAUAGUCAUCCCCAUACAAGAUAGCUUAAUAAUUUCAAAUUAAAGGAUCACUUACACAAACAUCACUUGAGUAUUCCAUAGACAUAGGUAACUCUCCAUAUGGAAUUCUCAUGAAGGUCAAUUCAGUGCACUUGUUUAAAUAAUAAGCACCUACAUAUUAAUUCUAGAUAUCACAUAUAUCCCAGCUUAUGAGAACAGCUGCUUUCUUAAGGAAAGAACAUAGUAUGUAUUAGUCUCAAUAGCUUUAAUCAUCGUCCAAUAAUGAGGAGAACAUUGCCUAAGAAUAUUUAGAAACAUUGCUUUAAUGCAAACAUAAAACUCAUAAUUAUAACCACAUUAUAAUUUAUUUCACAAACCAGUAUUGUCCCAUGGGCUUUAUCUUUUACCAAGAUUCAAUCAAUAGAAUAUAAAAUGUAAAUAAAUGCCUUCUAUUAAUAAUAAAAUACUUAUUACAUGAAAUAUUAUGUCCAAAAUAUAACCAAUCAAAUUGACUAUAGGGCAUAUAACUAACAAUCUCCCACUUGCACAAGCCAAUUAUCCAUGUAUUUUAUCCUAUGACAUCAAUGUAUCCAUAAACUCUUAGUUUAUUAGUUUCGCCAUAACUGAAAAGUAUCCUUACUUAUUUUAAUUACUUAAGGAUAAUUUUACCAACAGUCCAGUGACUUUCAUCCGGAUCAGAUUGAUAUAUUUGCAGGUAUCCUCUUUUGGAUUCCUCCAUGCUAAACCGUUUUAACACUUUACCAACAUAUGUGGAUUCAGAUAAUCCUAGCAGCCUAUCGAAUCUAUCCUUACAGAUUUUAGUACCAAGUAUAUAAGUCGAUUCUCAAAUGGAGAAGUUCUUGGAUUACCAAACUUUUAUAGUAGUAGAAUGUAAUUUUCUAUUAUUAAUAUGUUAUCAGCAUAUAAAAUAAGGAAUAUCAUUCUGCUCCUGCUGACCUUCUUAUACACACAAAGAUCAUCCACAGUUUUAAUGUAAUCAAACUAUUUGAUUAUUUCAUUAAAAUAGAUGUUCUAAGGCUUGCUAAAGUCUACCAAUGGACUUUUCAGUCCGAAACUAUAUUAGGAAAUUCUUUUGAUUAAAAAAUCAUUAGAUUUGCUAUUUAAGAAUUCAGCUUUGACAUCAAUAUGACAAAUUUCAUAAUCAUAAAAUGCUGCAAUUGCAAGUGAAUGCCAAACAUUUCUCCCUUAUAUUUGUUAGGUUCGAGUCUCUACAAGAAGGUCCAACUUUGUAGGUGCACAGCUCAUCCUAAUAGAUUUACACGGUGGUUCUUUAACCGAUGUAUUUUGAUUGUAAUAAUUUUUUUUGUUCUGGUUCCAUCUUUAAUGUUUAUUUGAGGUUCUUGAAAUUUUCAAGUUCUACCUGGCUCCCACUGCUUCCUUUAAGGAUAAAUACCUUUUCUACAAAGGUAAUAUGUUUUGAGAUAAACAUUUUUCUCUCAACAGGAUGGGUGAAGUAAUAUCCAAUAAUUUCUUUUGGAUAUCCCACAAAGGCUUCACAUAAGCGUGUUGGCCCAUAUCUUAUAUAGAUUUGAAAGACUCAUCAUGGAUCGUACUAUAUCUAAUAAGGUACGAUUCCUCCUUCCUAACACUCCAUUGUGUUGGGGUGUUCUAGGUGGUGUCCAUCGUGAAAGAAUCCCAUUUACUAAUAGAUAAUUUUAAAACUCCUGGCUUAAGUAUUCACCAUCUCGAUCAGAUCGAAGUAUUUUACUACUUUUUCCAAUUAUUUCUCAACUUCAUUUCUGAAUUCCUUAAACUUUUCAAAAGAUUCAAAUUUAUGCUUCAUUAAAUAUAUAUGACCGUACCUAGUAUUGUCAUUAGUAAAUGUAAUGAAAUAUGAAUAUCCAUCUAUGGCUUGGGUUAUCAUUGGUCCACUUACAUCUGUAUAUAUUAGGUCUAAUAACUCUUUUGAUCUUUCACUCUUUCCAAUAAAAGGUGUUUUAGUACCCAUUAAACAAGAUUCACAAGUUUUAUAUGAUUCAUAAUCAAAAGGUUCAAGAUAACCUCCUUUAUGCAACUUAGUGAUUCUUGUUUCUUUAAUGACCAAGUCUAAAAGGCCAAAGAUACGAUAAACUUUUAUUAUCUAUUUUGGGUUUCUUGCUGUUUAUGUUGAGAAUGACUUAUCUAUAGAAAUACUAUAUAAUCCAUCUGUAUAGAUUCCAGUUCCAUAACAAACAUCCCUUUUGUAAAAAGAACAAGCAAUGUUCUCAAUAACAAAUUUGAAUCCAUCAUUCAAGGCUAAAAAUGAAACUGAAAUAAUGUUUCUACAAAGUAUUGGAAUAUAAUAACAAUUAUUUAAUUCUAAUAUCAGAUUCGAAGGCAAAGGUAAAUUAUAUGUUCCUACAGCUAAUGCAGCAACUUUUGCUCCAUUAGCUACAUGUAGGUCCACCUCUUCUUUCCUCAAUUUUCUACUUUUCAUUAGUUCUUACAUGUUGUUACAAAUAUGAUAACCACAUCCAAUAUCUAAUACCCAAGAACUAUAACUAAAAGUAGAAAGAUGAAUUUCAACCAUAAACUUAAAGCAGGAAUUUCAAUAAGCUUCUUUCCCUUUUUACAGCGAAACGAUUCCUUAAAAUUUGGUUCAGUCAGUUUAUUAGUAUUAAACAUGCCACGUAGGUAUAGGUUAUUACUCAUGGUGAUAACCGAUCUACAAAUAUAAAGAAAUCAAUUGUUAAUUUCAUGCAAUACUAAAUUAAAUAAGGUCCUUAAUUUUAAUUUAGGUCUCCUACUAUUUUAUUCAAAUUAAUAGUCCUUCCUAUUAAUUCGGAAAAUCCAGCGUUCAGAUCCCCUAGUAGGCUAAGAUCCUAAUUAAUCCAUAUAAUCUUGGAUUUUCCCAACAAGUUAUAUUGAAUUAAUUUAGGUAGGUAACAUAGCUUAUCAAUCACAUCUUAUGUGACUCUUACAUCAGUUAAGUAACAACUCUUUGUCUAAGCAUAUUAAAUAUAUUUCGCCUAACCUUUGCCCUAAUAUUAUAUGAUCAUGAGUUUUCUCAUCUAAAUCAUAUAAAUUAAUUAAGUAAAACCAUUGUUCAAGUUAUUUGAUAGCAUUAAACAUGUUCGAUUAAAAAUGACCUUGGAUUUCCCAACAAGCCAAAUAUAAUAGAGCUUGUUUUCAUGCAAUAACAAUGGGUAGUAAUCAAUUAUAUUCUUAAUAUGUACUUAAAAAUUUUAAUAAGUGAUUUAUUUUAAAUUUUAAUCGCAGGAUUCAUGUUUUGGCAUGAAGGUCAUAUCAUAUAUCAUACAUACAUAACAUACACUCUUAGCAUGACAUUCUAAUUAGAUGAUUAUGAACAUUUCUAAAACUAAUUUUCUUGGGCUAUUAAGAAAAUUAAAUAGUCGAAAAUCCUAGGUAGCAUCUUCUUAGAUCUUCAUGAGGACCAAUAGCAGCUCCUUGGCUCAGAUUCUUCAAUGCUCUAUGUAAUUUCUUCAAUUCUUCUUUUCUUCUUGGAUUACAAAAUAGUAUCCUAUAUACAUAUUUCAAUUAUCUAACCAUUACAUAAUUAAAUGAAACAAAUAAGAAAUUUUACAAUCCAAAAUAAAAGAGAAUCAGGACACAAAGACCACAUUUAAAAUUAUAUAAAACCAUUCAACCAAAUAUUAUAAAGUCAAUCAAAUAGGUCUUUCUAAUUUCCAUAAUCACUCAUCAUGCAUAAUAAUCAUAUUAAAUACAUUUAAAUAUUAUCUUAUAUAAAUAAAUAUUAAUUCUUGGUCUCAUGUGCUGAAAAUAAAAUUUUAACAAUUUAAACUUUAUUUUGAUAUUUUCAAAAUCAAUUUAUGAAUAAAAUAAUUUUUUUCAUGUAUCAAACCUUAUUACAACUAAUUUUAGAAUUUAUAAAAUUAUUUCAUAAAUCAAUUUACUAAUUCUAAUCAUAUAAGAAUUAAUAAAUAAUUAAACAAUUUAAUUUAUUCCCUAACCCAAUUAGGAAUAAAUUCACAAAUAAUUUUAUUGCAAAUUAAACUCUUUUAAUUUUCUUUUCUAACUAAAUUAGAAAAUAUCCUAAAAUCAAUUUUAAUUUACUGAAAAUUAAUUUUAAUGGCCUUUAUAUUUUAAUUAAAACCAAAUUAAUUAAAGUACAAUCAAAAUUAAUUUUAGAACCUGAUUGAAACAUAUUAAAACGAGUUUGGACCCAAUUGCAAAAUGGGAAAACAUGCAGGGACCAAGACGUAAUUCACGUCAUCAUCUUCACAAACGGCAAACUUUUUCGAUUGAAAAUAGUUUGCCACCGCCGCACAUCAAACCUAGUAAAAUCAGCGUCGUCGCCGACCUUGCCACAGCUCGAUGCAAGUCACACGGUGACUGAAAGACUACGAACAGCUUUGCCUUUUUCUUUGGGGUUACAAAGAAAUUGACAUAUAAGUAUGGCGAUACAUUCAAGUACCAGGUGAUAAGUUGCGACUCGAGUCGAAAACCGUAUUAUGAAAAGACAAGCAAAAUGAUAAAUUGGCCUGCAAGGGUGCAUGCAAGUCUUAAAGGAACCGAAAUGUGGGUGGUUACAGAAGUCGAUGGAGAUCAUAAUCACGAGUUAAUCCUUCAAUGUCACAGGAAAUACCUUGUAGUAUGAAAAGAGUGCUGAAGGCAAACUGGAUGAACUAAGUUGUUUGCCAAAAGAUUGCAAAAAUUACAUAGAGAAAAGGAGGAGGGAAAGUAUACAAGACAGGACGCAGAAGAAAAACAUAGAUUUUUCGUCCAUUUGCAAACGAAAAAUACUAAUUUCUUUUAUCUGAUGAAAGUUGAUCCCGAUGACAAGCUUGCAAAUGUCUUUUGGAUGCAUCCACAUGGUAUAGCCGCAUACCAAGAGUAGUUACUUUUGACACAAUAUACCUUGUAAAUAGAUAUAGAAUGCCGUUUGCUACAAUUGAUGGAAUAAGUCACCACAAACUAUCCAUUUUGUUAAGAUGUGCUCUUAUAGCACAUGAAGACACAAUAACUUUCAAGUGGAAGUUUGAAACAUAGCUUGAAGCAAUGGGUAUGAUUUAUCCCAUGGCUAUUACGACAGAUCAGUGUGAGAGCAUAAGGAAAGUUGUUAGAGAAGUUUUUCCUAACACAGCGCACCCAUACUAAAUUUAGUCAUAAUCAUCUUGUUUAUUGGUAUAAUAAAAUCUAACAUAAUAGCAUAGGCAUGCUACCAAUUUACCUUGCAGGUUUUGUUUGUGGCAUAUGUUUUUACAAGUUCGCUAAGAAGUUAAAAGGUGUCAGUGAUCAUGGCAAUAGUGUGACUGUAUUUAAAGCACCUGUAUUCAAGAGCUUUAGCAUAGAAAUGUUUGAAAGAAGAUGGUCGAAUUUUCUGACUGAGUAUAGGCUACAAGGAAAUGAGUGGCUUUUGAAGUUGUAUUUUGAGAAGCAAGAAUGGGUGCCAAUGUAUUUGAAUAAUUAGUUUUGGGUUGGAACUAUAUAGAUAAGCGAGGUUAUGCAUGCAUAUUCUAAUGGAUAUAUUAAUUCAAGGAGCACACUAAAACAAUUUGUAGAGCAAUAAGAGAUUGCUAUAUGUGACAAGAUAGAGAAGAAAUUCCAAGAGGAGCACAAUUCAAUGUAUAAGGUAAUUAAAUGUCAGCCGAGUAUAUGUUUAAGAAGCAAUUCCAAAAAGUCUUCACUAACAAAGAGUUUAAGAAAGUACAAAAACAGAUAGAUGACAUGAUUUACUGAUAUACUGCCACAUUAUUCAUCCUAUAACGGUGGAAUCCCGAUAAGCCAACAAUGAACUAGACAUGACAGCUUACAAGGUGAUGGAGAGGAACAUAAUUCAAGAUAACUUUCUAGUAAUGGAUGAUGAUGAUUGUGAUGACCUAGAAGCCCAAAAGAUGCUUGUGCAGAACACAAUUGCCACUGGAAAAAUAGAAUAUGUUAACAAAAAUGAAAGCGUUGUAAGUGAUCCUCAUGUAGUUCGUGGGAGGGGCACACUCGGGUCAGAUAGGUACAAGACUUGAGGUUAAUUAGAACUAUUGUUGAUUGAUGAAUAGAAGAAUUAGGAUUAUUGUUAAUUAAUCAAUAAUAUAUUUUUAUAAAGCAUUAAUUAUGGAUACAUAAAACAUGAAAAUACCACUAUUAGUGAUAUAAUAUAUAUUUUUAGAAAAUACCAUUAUUAUUGAUAUAAUAUAAAAUACCACUACGAUUAUUUUAUUACACACUUUAACUUAUAAAAUUAGAUCAAUUGAGCACUUAUUAAAAAGUUAAAAUUUAUGAAAAUUAUUAUUCCAAAAGUCAUGCUAACUACAUAUUAAGUCAAUAUUUUACAGAUAAAAAUAAAAAUCCUAAAAAUUAUUGAUAUCAAUGUCAAAAGGUGUGUAAUGUUACUAAAAUUUAAAAGUUCAAGUAUAUAAUAGGUCAUUCACAAAGUUUAAGGUGCCAAAAAGCUAAAAUUAUAAAGUUCAUGGGUAAAUUUAUGUAUUAUGCCAUUUGAAAUAAGAUUAAAUUUGGUGUCACAACUUAUCAAAUUUUCUAUCUUACUGUCUUAAUAGAAAAUAUUUGCAAUCACAUGUUUAAACUGUUAAAAAAUUUGUCUCCAACUAACAUGGCUAGCCAAAUUUACAAAUAGGAAAUGUGGUGUCAAGUCACGAUGGAAAGUAUGCUGAUAUGAAAAAUUUGCUGAGAUGUCAACUGAUGAUUUGUCAAAUUAGUCUCAAGCAAAUCAACAGCUUUGCCAAAGCAAAUGCGCCCUCUCUCACUUUAUCCACCACCGUUGUGGCUUCACCUCUCCUCCAAACCCUAAAACUACGCACCAUCGUUGUCGCUUCAUCUCUUCUCCAAACUUCAAAAAAUUUCAUCAAGAAGCCAUAGGAGAUUCGAUCCUAGGUUCAUGGAAAGUUACAAUUUUGGUAUAGUAUAAAUAGAUUGUAUUGGGCCUUUAAAGUUCUUACUUGUUUUUCCCUUUUUUUUUUUGGGCAAAAUUUGAAUUUUUAUGUGUAGUUAGAAUUUUGUUGCCAUCCUUCUAGGUUCUUUCUUGAUAAACUUGAGACUAAACCAUUUGAAAUUGUCCUAUUUCGUUGAAAAUUGAUUUAUUUAUUUACUUAAAGUUAUGGUUUUCGGAUAAGGAACUAUUGGGUUGAAGAGGAUGAGUCUACUAAAUGCAAUUAGUUUCAAAUCUUAAAGUUUUUACACCAUAUUAUAUCAAGAUUAAGAAAUGAGUUUUUGAAUUAGGAUAGUAGUGAUCUUGUUGAUGAUGGUGAUGGAGAAGGAUCAAAGUAUUUUGAUAAAAGGUUUAACAUAGUUGAUAAUGAAGAAGGGUGGUGGGUUUGGCGGUGCUGGCGGCGGCUUAGUAAUGGCACCAACAUAAGUUAAUGUAUUAUUAUUGUUGUUCAACAAACUACAAAAACAAAGCAUAAGGUAGCAAUAGUAAUGAUAAACACAACUUUUUAAUUGAUGGCGGCAGAGAAAGAAAACGAUUUUGAGUUUGUGUUUACUUUUGUUUUUUUUUUUUUUUUGCUGCAAAUAUCAAAAUUAGAUUUUUUUUUUCUUUUUUUUUUUUUUUUUUUUUUUUUUUGUUCAAGAGAGGGAAGAGACAAGGGAAAAUAGAGAUGAGUUUUGUUAUAUGGGUUAACAUAUGAAUCUGACGUUGCAUACCCACUUAAAAUAUAAUUAGCAUAUUUCAAAAUAUCAAGUUGGCUCCAUAUUUCUUAUUUAUAAUUUCAGUAAGUCAUGUAAACCGGAUACACUUUAUUGAAAAUUUUUUAACGGUUUAAACACUUAAUUGCAAAUGUUUUUCGUUGAGAUAUCAAAAUAAAAAAUUUUGAUAAAUUGAGACAUCAAAUAUAUAAUUAACCCUUUGAAAUAAAAUCAAACUCAAAAUGCGUGUUAAUGUCCUUUAAAAGAAAACAACACAAAUCUAAUUUUAAAUAAUAAUAUAUUCUUAUGUGGAUAAGUCAAGCUAGCAACGUAUAUACUUCAAAAGUGAAAAGAGAUAUUAUUUCCUUAUUUUUUAUUUUAAAAAUGAAUAAUCCAAUACAAAAUGCAAAAUAUAUAUAUAUAUAUAUAUAUAUAUAUAUAUAUUAUGAGAGCGGAGAGUGGGGGGGGGUUUUAGGAAAAAAAAGACGUAUAGAGAUUAAAAAAAACAAUGGAUUUACAUUUAAGCAUAUGUUGUUAGAAAUAAUAGAUACAAAAUAUGAAAAAAUAGAAAAAAUUCUUUAAUAGUGUGUUUAAUAUCCUUAAAGAAUUAAAAGUCCCCACUAUAAUUGAAUUGCGGAUAUAAUAGCAGUAUUUCUCUAGAGAAAACAUGAUCAUAUGAGUUUAAGAGCUAGGACUUUUAUAACGAUAAGGAAACCUUGAACAGAUGUAAAUUCUGUAUUCAACGGACAUUUAGCAGUUUAUUAAUUUCAAAAUUAAUAACGGUUUUCAUAACUGUUAAAAACAAUUACUUGUACUAUUUAAAUAAUUAAUUUCAAAAUUUAUUAAAUAAUAAUAAUAAUGAUAAUAAUAAUAAUAAUAAUAAUAAUAACAAUAAUAAGUUUGCAUAAAAAAUAAAUUACUUGAUUUAUUUUAGGUGACUAUAAAUAUACUUAAAAAUUUCUUUUGACUAUAAAAUAUUUAAAAUUUCUAUAGUCAAAUUUUGAUUUCCUCCAUAUUUCCCACCAUCUAUUUUGUUCAAAUAGAUAUACUAAUACUAGGUGUCUAUAAACACUAAUUUACUUUUGUAUCUUUUCCAUGUGGGAUAGAAACUCAUAUAAUCCACUAACAUAUGUUAUAAAAUCGGACUGUAUAAGAAAAAAAUAAUAGAUAUCAUAUAUUAACUUUUGAAUUUAUUAUCAAACCAUAUAUAAAAAAUUAUUAGAGUAAAGACUUCCUUGAUUCAUUCUGUCGUUUUGAGUUCAUAAUAAGGUUAGUAUGCUUAUUCAAUUAGUUACAACUACUAGCAAUUGUUAUAAACAAAUUUGAAUAGAAUCAAGGUUGUUGUCAAAUCAAAUUGGAUCUAACCAUCUUGGUUUGUAUGGUUUUAAUUAUGAAAAUUUUUGAAAAACAUGACUUUCAUUUUAAAUGAAAACAAUAAUGUAUGAAGUAUAAAUUAAUGUCUUAAUGUUCUAGAACAUCUCAAAGCAUCGAUACCUGAAUGACUAAGAUCCUUAAAUGUUUGACAUUAAUUUUGAAAAACUUCAUCUCAGAUGUUAUUACAAGUAAUAUCAUUGCACAAUAUACUUUCUACACUAAGAUCCUUCAAUCUGGAAAGAGAGAAAAACAGAGAUCCCAAUGGGAAACUAAUUGUGUUGGUUUAAGCUCCAAACCCCAACAUUUUUGUUUGAAAAAACCUGUGAGCGGUGAGAUAAGUUUAUAGGCUAUACAACACACAAACGCAUUUUAUUUAUAACACAAGUUUACAAUACACACAACAGGAAAGUGGGAGAAAAUCUUAUAUACUCAAACCAACUAAGCUCAGUAUCCUCAGCGAAUACUGUGGAUACCAUGGAGAAAAUCAUAUUGGUAUAGCCUUAUCUGGCUCUCGCAAAUGACUCCUUCAUCAGAACGUGUGCGAUUAAGUGCAUGAGAGAAGGCAGAUCUCACAACACCAGCAAGAUCAGCCCCACUCCAACCAUCUGUCAUGUAAGCUGCAUAGAAAACCAAAACAGGGUUCAAGGAGCAACAAGUUAGUACUGAUCUUAUUAUAUAUAUACACACACAACAUUCUAUUUUGUCCAAGACUUGAAACAAACUGAAAAUUACCAAAUAAAUCACCACUGCGUUGUUCUUAUUUCCAAUAAUUUCAGAGAUGUAUUAUUUGUUCCAAAUUUAAAAGGAAAAAAUUACCAUACCAAGUUGAAAGAUUAUGCAACUCUUGUCAAAAACAGGUUUUAGACGUAUAAUUACUCACCUAUCUCUUCAAGGUUUACAUCUGGUUGGAAGUAACCCCUUUGCUCCAAAGUAUUAGCAUGCACCUUUAAUAUGUUGAAACGAGCUUCCUCAUCAGGAAGGUCUACUUAAAUGUGGAGUUCAAGCCUUCCAGGUCUGUGUGACAUAACUUACGUUUCAAUAAAGUACAAUUUACUGAAAAUAUAGAAGAAAAGAUUUAUAAUCCCACAAUGAUGUAGAAAGAAGGCAAAGGCAAACUUAAAGUUGUCAAACUCGCUUUUUCAAUUACAUUUGUCGAACAGUCCACAAAAUUGAAAGAUUUUGCAAACUGCCUAAAAUAAAAUAAUACAAAACAUUCAUAAUAAGUCGAAUGACAAAAAAAAUUGACACAUAACAAGUCAAGAAUUUCUUUAUAUAUACACAUAUACGAACAAACAUACAACAUAUAUAUUGAACAGCCUAAAUUUUUGAACAAUAAUUGUUGACUUUGUUGAUUUGGAGUAUCCUUGUAUAGGCUAUUUAGGAGCGUAUAUUUCUCUUUCCUUAUUCGUUCUUUUCCUAUUUAGGAUUUGAUACUUCUGUAUAAAUAGGAUGUAUAGGAUCUCAUUAAAAUAUAAGAAAUACAUAACAAAUUUUUCCCAGACCUGUUCUUAAAAUCAACAUGGUAUCAGAGCCAAAACCAAACUCUUUUGGCCUUUUUUGAACCAAAACCAAACCAGAUCAGAAAUCGUAUAGGCAGAAGGGUACCAGAACUUUUUUCAAGAUUGGUAGGUUUCUGGGUGGAGUUGAAGUACACUGCCACCCCUAAAAGAAAGCCCAGCCGCGGGCGACCCAAACCCUAAAAUCUGGUAGCCGUGCGACAAAGCGCAUGAGCUCACGCGCCGAUUGAAUGUCCGGCGCAUGGAGGCGCCAGCGUGAAGCCACCUUCCAGCAUCCUCUCUCGGCGGGACCUACUCCGGCAAGUUCGUCCACUUCCGGUGAAUUCAUUCCUAUCCAGUACAGCCUAAUUAGUGACCAUUUUCUAUGCUUCGGCUAUUUCAAAAUCGUUUUUUUCUACUGUUCUUUGGGUUUUUAUCUGUCCCUGCACUGUUGUGUUCUCUCAUCCUAGUAAUUAUCUAAUUUCAAUAAAUCAUGGGUGAUUGAUUUAAAACCACGGAAACAUGUUGGAAAUUACUUCGACGACCGAUUAGAGGUCGUGAGAGUAAAAGCAUUGGUCGUGGUGGUAAAAGGAUCGGUUCGACUAGACUUGUUGCACACCUACCUAAACAUCUUCUGCUAGGAAUUUUUCUAUUGAGGAGGUACAAUUGUUACAGCUUUUUGUCAAACCUUCACUCUUCAUCCACCACAGCUACUUCUAAUUUUGUGUAAUCUGGUAUGGCCCUUCUUACUAAUUCUAUUGAUGAUUCAUGGGUUAUAGAUUCAAGAACAAACAAACAUAUGACAGACUCUUUUCAUAAAUGUUUAACCUAUUCAUCUUGUACUGGCAAAAAAACUGUUCGCAUUGCUGAUGGUUCUUUCGCACCUAUUUCUGGCACAAGUUCUGUUAAGUGCAUAUCCACUAGUGAUAUAGCUUCUGUCCUUCAUAUCAACUAGAAAAUUUGGUUCUAAGAUUUGCUUCUUAUUACAAUUCUUUAAGUGACCUAUCGUGAAUUAUGUUCAAACUCAUCAAAGGAAGCUUGACACCUUUGGACCUUGUUAGAGAGAGCAUCAAUCUCAAGUUUGGAAAUGAUACCUCUUUAGGAAAUUAUAAAAAUAGGAAGUUUAGUCUAUUUAGGAAUAGACUAACUAAAAUCUAGGAGUCCUAUACUAAUUAAGAAUCCAUAUUUUAUUGAAUCCUAUUUAAGCUAGUAAACUAACUAAUUAAUUUCCAUAAUUUCUAUAUCUGUCAUGUUAUUGAAUGGAUUAGUUUGGUGCACUAUCAAAUUCCAACCAAAACAGCCUCUUACACUGGUGCCCUCAAACAAACAAAUCUUCACAAUCGUAACAUAAUCCCUUGGCUUAUCUUUCCUCCAUUUCUGCCUUUGUUAAAUUUUUAAUAAAGGGAGAGGAGGCGCUGUUGGAGUGAGCAGGAGCUGCGCUACCUUGGGAUGCAAUUGGUUUGUGAACGGAGUUGUUGGACUUGGUGACAGGAAAAGAGAUGGUACCAUGGUGGUGCGGCACUGAAGGCAGUUGUUGCUUCUUCUCAAAAGCCCUAGCCAGGCUCAUGGCGUGCAAGGGUGGCUGGAGAUUGCAUCUCAACCUCUAAUUGAAUAUAGUCCAUUAGCCCAACCGUGAAUAAAUCCACCUGUUGAUCACGAUGCACCGAAUUUGCGCAAGCCAGCAGCCCCUGAAACUGACAUUGAUACUCCUCUACUGUCCCUGUUUGCUUUAAAUUGACUGUCCCGAGCAGAUUGCUUUGCAAGGGUGGCCCAAAUCUGAGAGUACAAUAUUAUGAAAAUUUGUUCCACAUGAGGUCUGGUUCUUCUUGCUGCAACUUGUAAUACCAUAGGGCUUCUCCCAACAUGUGGAAGGCAGCUAGGCUGACUCAGUCCCUUGCUGCAGUUUGUUGAUUAGCUAAAAACUUUUCACAUCUGUGCAAACAGAUUAAGGGGUCAUUAUUGCCAUCACAUGUAGGAAAAUCGAGCUUAGUAUAACGCAGCACAAUUCCGCUGCUAUUGAUGCCACCAACAGUUUCACUAUGCUUCGUUCGUGGUCGCUGCCUAUCCUCCACACAACUUGUCUGGCCUAAACUGUUGUGCCCCACAUCUAUUUCCUCAGUUGGCCCCUUGCCAUGCAACUGGUUGGUAAGAGCAAGGAGAGUUUCCAGCUGUUGAGAUAAUUGUUGAUGUUGUGUGUUCAUUCUUGUUUCCAAUUCUGCCACCAGAUUUCUCAAUUCCUUGCACUAUCCUUGAUUGCCCAUGGUGUUUGGCUCUGAUACCAAAUUCUUAUGUUACCUGGACCAGGAUCUUGUCACAGGGCGAUUCACUAGAAAAUCUGAUUCCAAGAUCUACUUCUUAUUACAUUUCUUUGAGCAACCUAUUGUGAAUUAUGUUCAAACUCAUCAAAGGGAGCUCGACAUAAUGGAACCUCAUUCAAGAGAGCUCCAACCUUGUGUUUGGGAAAGAUUCUAACUUACUUUAUUAAUAGCAAUAAUACCUCUUUAAUACAGGUUACAAUGAUAAACUAGAAAAUUCUAAAAAUAGAAGUUUAGUCUAUUUAGGAAUAGACUAACUAAAAUCUAGGAUCCUAUACUAAUUAGGAAUCCAUGGUUUAUUGAAUCCUAUUUAAGCUAAUAAACUAACUAAUUAAUUUCUAUAAUUUCCAUAUUUUCCAUAUGUCCAACAUAUCACAAGUAAAUUUUUAGAAUCCGAUUGUGGAUACACCAGGCUGAUUGUUUCUAGUUGGGUUUUAUCUCCAAUAAGAUAUCCCUGCAAUCCUCCAGCUUUGAUAAGUAAGAGACAAGAUAUUGACCAAAUAAGGUAAUUAGAACCAUCAAGUUUCACUGGACUUAUUUGCAAAGAUAGAUUGUCAUUAAGAAAGAAUUUUUGUUUCUAUUUUAUUUUAUUUUUGUUUCAUCACCCAUCACUUAACACCAACCUAAUAAACAAACACUAGAAAUUAAAAAUAAACAGAAUCGGAACCAAUAGCAAAUAAAAAGAGCACCAAGAAAAGAGAAAAAACAAGGUCAAAAUCACAAAAAAAUUAUUUGCUAUAACAACUGAGGUGGUUGUUUCCCUUUAGGUGUGUAAAAAAAAAAAAAGAAAAUAGGUUGAGCAAUAGUUAAGGGAGGUCGCUCAAGCAAAGGAAGUCCUGCGGCAUAGUCGCCGGCGAAACAAGAGACUGGAAAGUCACUCACGCACUGGUGCAUGUGUCAACACAUGGAGGGCCUAACUACCUUUCCCCUAUCCAUUCCCCUAAGAUACUUUAUAUUCUCUGAAGGCGUAAUGGGCAUAUUACUCGAUCCGUUUAUUAAUGAGCAGUGUAUUUUUUGAAAGGAACCAAAAGAGUACAAAUAGUACAAAUAUAUGUACUUGAAAGGAACUAAAAUGAAGAAUUGUAAAUAUUUUAUUUUUGAAGGAAACAAUAACAAAAUAUAUAAAACGAUAAAAAGCAGGUAGAAGCCAACUUGAGGCGAGUUGGUUGAAGUAUUAGGAGCAAAAGUUCCUUGUCAGAUCAGGUACAGUUUUCCAAACCCAAUCCGCAAGCAUCCCUAACCCUUAUGCAAGAACACUCAUUUCGAUAAAAUAAUCAAAAAUAAAAUAUUCUAAUGAAGCACUCAAAAUCAUAUUUGUGAUUUAACAUGUAUGAUAAUUUGAUUAUUGAAAUAUAUGAAAGAUAAUGGCAUACCUCAAGAGUGCUUCAUCAAUUAAUUCCAUUCUGUUUGUUGUUCCCACAAUAAGAAUAUUAUUUAGUUCCGUCAUGCCAUCAAUCUGGAUUGAUAAAAUUUUACUUGUUUGAGAUUCCAAAAUUGAACAAGGAGGUUAAAAUAGAAAAUAAAUAGAUAUAUUACCAUGGCUAGCAAUUGGCUAACUAUCCUGUCAGUCACAUUCUCCAUGCGAGUUGUUCCCCUUUUCUACAUAAGAGUGACAAGAACAAAUAGAUAGAUUUCAUAAAUUCACACUUCCUAAAUUAAUCUUUAUGCCAUAGUUCCAGCAAAAUCCUAAAUUAAUCUCUAUGCCAUAGUUCCGGCAACAAUAUAUAAUAUUUUACCGGAGCAAUUGAAUCUAUUUCAUCAAAGAUAAUGAUAUGAACGGGACUUUGCUCUCCUGCAAAGUGCAAACCAAUAAUAAAUUUACAUUACUUCUAUUAGGGUAACUGAGUAUACAAAAUGCAGACACAUUAUUGUAUAACAUAUACAAAUCAUAUACCAUAUUUUUUGAAAUCCUCCCUAGCUUCACGAAACAGCUCUCUAACUUUUGAUUCUGAUUCACCAACCAAACUAGCCAGAAGUUGAGGCCCAUCAAUGACCUGCACAAGGGGUAGAAAAAUUAUAAGUUUCAAAUCCAAUUAACAAUGAGGAGAAAAAAAUUCCAGAAUAUGAGUUUUUGACAUAUUAUAAAUUUUCAUUGCAUCAUAUUGUAUAAAAUGCAUGAGAAAAAUAUAGCAGCAGAACAUACACCGCAAAGACCACAUGGCAAAUUUAUUCAUUUAUUUUUAUGACAGCUAGCUACAAAUUGUUAAGAGAACCUUUAGCAUGCUUUUAGGACACAAACAUGUAGUUCGGUUCUGAACAGAACCAAAACGUAAAAACAAAACUUUCAUUUUUAUUUGAAAUUGAGACGCAUAGAAGUAAGUUUGGAAACCAAACCAUUCGGUUCCGUCUGGGUCAGAAUGGUUCGAUUUUAGGCGGAACUUAUUUAUUCUACUAACCAAAACCGAUAAAGUGAACAAUCGAACUAAAUCUGUUCACAGCGGUUUUUAGUUUUGCGAAACUUUGCUCACUCCAGUUCAUGAGUAUGUAUGUGCGUUGGAGAGGGACAAGAAGAAACCUUAGGUGGCUUGGCAUCAAUAAUUUUUGCAAUUGUUUUUACCAACAACGUUUUUCCAGUCCCAGGUGGCCCAUAGAGAAGUAUCCCCCUGAUAGGAGCUAUGUUUAAUCUGCAGUAUUAAGAAAAUAAUUAGAAAAUGAGAGGAAUAAAAGAUCUAUAAAGACAAGAAAAUAUAUAAAUGAAACACAGCAAAUUAUGAUGCUUUUUCCUCAACCAUUGCAGAAAAUUAAAUGUGGAAUAAAACAGAAUUCAAAACUUUAUCAUUACAAACGCUCGCGAUCCCAUAAGACGACAUAAUUGAAACUCAGAAUUACCUCAAGAAACGCUUCAGAGAACAAAUAAUGUUACCUAUCAAUACUGGAUAGAUUGUUAUUUAGAGGAUAUUUAUCAAGAAUUAAGAUUUCCCAGCCACAUUCUUGAAGUGAGAUUCUAAAUUCAAUGGCAACUAUGACAAGGAUAAACUGCAAAACAAGUAGGGAUACAACUGAAUAUGAAGAUGAAGAUAGCAGACAAUAAGUCUCAGACCUUUUAAAAAAAUAAACCCGUUUAGUCAUAUGAGAGAGGCAAAAGGAGAAUGAUUUGCAGCUAAGGUUUGAAAGAACAACAAAAGGGGAAGAGAGGCAAGCAAUUCAGACUCUGAGGGAGUUCAGUGCAGAAUCAAAUAAAUGGGGCAAAGUGCAGGUAAGACGUGUUCUGGAAUCAAAAUCUUCCUCAGGAAGGUGCAAAGGACUGUUUUAAGACAAUAUAGAAGAAGAUUAUAGUAUUCAAGGAAACAAUGGGAGCUCUCUUUUUAAUACACAAGCAAAGGGCUUCCUAGGUUUUAUAAGAAUCUUCCCAAACUAUUAUUAACGAUAAAAAAAAAAGGUAUUAACUAUAUCCUAUAUGGAAAACUAUCAACUUUAAGAUUCAUUUCUGAUAUAGAAAAACUCAGAUAGACUGGUCAGCAUGAUCGCAACAAUUGUGCAUGCACUAUUACCAAAGGAAGAAAAGCUAUUGCUAGCACUACACAGGAUCGGAUCAAUGCAUUAUUCUUAUUAGAAACAAGGGACUGUUUAUUAUUGUGGAGAUGGAAAAGGUUAGAACUCUUCUAGAAAAAAAAAAUUGCAAUUGAAGGUACUGAUGGGAGUCUUUGUUUAAAAUGACAGACAACUUAAUUGACUGGUAUUUAAAUUGUAUUUUAUGUAGGGAAUGGGACUUAUAUUAAAAAGAAACAACACUGUAAGUUCAUCAUUGAAUUUAUUUGAUAGAAAAGACAAAUGAUUUGCAAGAUUGCAGAUAGUUGUAGUAAGAACAUGACCAAAAUAUGAAGCUUUACAGAUAGAAGUCACCACUAGGCAUCCCAGCAAGAAGCCGACUCAAACUUAAGACAUGUAUGUUAAAUGGGACCAAAAUAUAAAGCUUCACAAAUAAAAGUCACCAGACAUUACAGUAAGGUUCCCAGCCACACGCGAAGGACUCAAACUUAAAUCAUGUAUGUUUCAUGUAAAAAGUUUUUGGAAAACAUCUGAGUUCCCCAGCAUUUUGGACACAACAUGCUAAGAAUUCAUAACUUUUGUGUUUGAUUACUAUAUUUGGAUGUAAGACUUGAAUUUGAUUAAAAUUCAUCAUUUGGAUUGCCACAUAUUUAAUGGAUUUUGAUUUGAAUGAAAUGCAUACCAAAUUCUAAAGGUUUAAACAUCAUCGAUUUCAAAUUACUUUAAUAUGCUAGAUUUCAGAUCAAAUCCAAAAUAAGCAUUGGAAAACGGAUAAAUGGCACUAAAUAGACUGCACCCUUCAGUAAAAGAAGUUAGAAAGGCAAAGUUUUCAGAUAAAAAAAUAUUAUUCAGAAAGAAAGAAAUGAAUGUACACUAUGGAGGUCAAGUAAUCCUCCUAUAAUUCAAAGAAAAAAAAAAUGGCAACAAAAAACAUAGAACGGAAGUAAAGUGCAGUGCCCUCCAAUUGAGUAGGAUAAUAUUCAAAGAGACUCCUCUAGAAGCCCAAAAGCAUAAACCCCCACAAACUAACAGAUAUGCUCUAUGUUUUGAAGAUUUCUCCAUAGAAGACUCCUUAGGGCUUUAUAUAUAUUUGUGCGUGUGUAUAUAUAUAUACCAAAGAAUAUUAGCAUCCUUUGUGUAAUCAAAUCCUCUUCAUCAGCAAAGGUCUCUAAAGAUUCUAGACAACCAUUGCUCCUCCAAAGUGCUAAAGAAGAGAUUCCAGAUAACCCAAGCCACUUCACUGGGCAAAAACAGGUGAGAAUGACGUGUAACACUCGAUGCAAGGUGUUAGAGGUUGUAGAAAGGAAACACAUGAACACACGCGCGGACACACAAACACAUGAAUACAAAAAAGGAUUUUGAAUUUUUUUUUUCACAGUUGGAUGGUAAAUAGUUAUUCAUAUUCACAACCACAAAAAUCAGGGAGCAAAUGGCAGACAUUAAUAAUAUUAGACUGGAAGGAAAAAAAACAGAGAUUGAUUCAGUACUUUCUCUUCACUUGAUGCUAAAAUGGUCAUGUCGGGUAAGAAAAUUCAAAAUUCCGCAGCAAUUUGACAAUUCAAAUGGGUAGGAAAAUAGAAAAGUGUUAUUGACGCAUUUGUGGACAGAAAGACAGAAAGUAUACAAGACGUGUGGCACGUGAGGUGCAGAAUUGAUAUUGCAAUUUCUCACUUUUUAGUAUUCUUUAUGUUAUUAUUAUUGCUAGAGUUAGUUUCCUUCUAUAAGAAGGAUCCUUAAUAGUAGGAACUUUUAUUUUUAUAAUAAUUCUUUUUAGUAGUAGGAUUCCUAAUUAGUAGGAACUUCUAUUUUAUUAUAAUUCCUCAUCUGCUGUACGUCUCUCUUAUAUAAGAGGCACACUUUUAUUCAAUAAAGACUCAAGCAAGAUUUCUAUUAAUUACGAGAUAAAGGUUCUCCCUACCCUAACAGAGUCUUGAGGUGGAGAACUCUCUCUAACGAGUUCUUAACUCUAUAUCCAUCAUAGGCAGAAACAAGAAUAAGGGCAAUUCCCAGGCCUCGGCCUUAGGAAGACCUGUGACGAGAAUUUAGAAAAAGGGUGAAAUUCAGCGGUACUCAAACCGCUAAUGAAUUUCUGGACUGGCAUAAAUGGAGAAUAAAGGGAAUUUGUCAUCACCUUCACACGUGGUGCAGCAAUGCAACGCAAAAGACAUUGCUUUAAGACAGCAUCCAUUAUCAAGAAUAAAAGCUAAGGUUCAUUCUUCGUAAAUGGAUAACCAUUUGCAAAUAGGGAUUUCAAGACAAUUUGGAGGAAGACAUUGAGAAACAGAAAUAGAAGAAUGUAGGCAAACUUGCAUGAAACAGGAAGGAGCACAAAAUAAUGAUAGAGCUAGAUUGGUCUUAAGCAGAGACUUAGACCCAGAUAUUUCAAAUCACUAUGCAAUCAUCAUAUUACCAUGAUCAAUCACACUUGUAACUGAAACAGAGCCAUCCCAGUUGUUUAAUAGAGGUGAAAGAUUCAGAUUGCAAGAAGAUCAACAAAAGUACCCUGAGGAUUUUUGCAGAAUUGAAACAUGGGCUCUAAAACUUUUGCAAGUGUAAGUAAACCUAUAGGAUAACAGGGAAAUGAUAGAAGACCAUAUAUGAGAAUCCAGAAUUUAAGAUGCACCAGGUAAGAAAAAGAGAGCAUGAUUAUAUGAUAUUCCUUGGCCAGUGUAGAAGAGAUUCUGUUAUGCCAAAAUAUGCUAAAUGGAUAAAACUAUGCAAUGAAAAUAAAAUUCUUACUCAUAAUUGGAUGAAAACAAGAUCUAGGAACAACCUAUACUGAUUCUGUAAUAAGCAGGAAAUAAAUUGAAAAAAGAUGCAUGAAAUGACAAGAUUGUAAAUAUAACCAGGUAUUAAUCUUCCAUGUAAGUCAAAUAAGUAGCACUGAGGAUCUUACCGUCGAGCUAGCUCAGGGUCAAGACUACGAAUUGAAAACACCCUCUCAAAUAUUUCUUUAAAAAUUUUUUCCAUCCCACCAACUCCAAGAGCCAUCAAGUCUUGCUCUAUGUUAGUGAAAUUUAUAUUUCUAUGAAAUAUCCUUCUUGAUGCUAGAGCUUGAUUGAAUAUCUGCAGAAAAUAUCAAUUUGAACUUGACAUGAUAUGUCACACUAUGGAAGACAAGACAAGAGAACAUCUUAAGAGUUGAAAAAGAAUUUAUUACCUUGAGAUUUUCACUCACAAAGACUAUCUUAGUCUCCUUGUCAAGCAUUCCUUGCCUAGAAAUGGCACCAUUGCUGGCCGCAAUGAUACGAUUAACAGUGAAAUUGCCAAGGAAUUCACCACACCUAAAUUGUAUUCUUUGAUUUAGAUGCAUCACCUGAGUUUGACAAUUAUCAUGAGUAUAAGUUAACAAAUAAACUUAGAGAUGCUGAGAAUUUUGUUGCAAGGAAUAAAGGAUAAGAGGCAUAAAUGGCUACCACCAAAAAGCUGUGAUUACAGUCAAUAUCCAUUCAUAAUCAAAGUAAGAGGUGUGGAAUUAAACCCUAAAAGGAAGUAAUCAUUACCAACACAUCAAACCAACCCUAGCAUCACACCAAACAAGAAGCAAAAUAAUUAUUCUAAUUAAGUUAAAUAACCUCAACGUACUCUGGUAGCACGAUACAUCUGCCAGCAAUUUUCUAUAGUGAAACCAAACUUAUUAUCUAACAGACAUUCAAAUUUAUAGUGAAACCAACCAAAUAAUUCAAAUUUAUCAUAUUCUUUACAAUAUAUGCACUAAAUCAAGACAAAAAUUAUUGAUGAAAGUUGUGUACAUUAUUUUGCAUAAAAAUGUAAUGAAGUGAAAUUCAGUCCACAUCCAUGUUCUAAUACUUUUAGCAGAAUUUCAAUUAAGAGACCGUCUGGUUUAACUGUUCAGAGCAGCUGAUGAUAGCUGUGGAUAAGAACGUUUAACUGAUUAAUAUUAGUGUUUGGUAAAAAUUUGAUAGCAGUUCUUGUUUAAAUGUAAAAUAACCAUUAAGGAUAUACUUGUUUUUAUAUAUUAUGGUGAACAAUGUAUAUUUUAUUUUUAAUUUUUAAAGUAAAUAUAUUUUUUUAUCUUAAUGUGUUAUAUAAAUAAAAAAAAAUACUUAUUAAAAUUUUUUGAUAUAAUAUUUAAUAGAAUUUUUUUAUUUUUAAAUGACUAUAAUAAAAUUAAUCAUUAAAAAAAAAUACUAAUUUUAUUAAUAAUUAUUUUUAUAAGGUUAAUAGAGGCUAAAUAUAAUAUAAGUACAAAUCAGCUACCAGCUCAUAUAAAAAAGCUCCAAAAUGGAGGUGAUGAAACCAUCAGCUUUGGGACUUUCAUCAGUUAUCAACAACUUAUUAAAAUCCUUUCAUCAGUUGAUUUCAUCAGUUAUCAAAUACUUACUAAAACCUUUACCAAAUGCCUACAACAUAGCUGUUGGGUACGAAUCAGCUGAAUUAAACACAUCCUUAAGUCUUUACAAUGUAAGGUCUAAUAUGUUAUUUGAAGAAACAUGUAUUAGUUAGUUUGCUGUUAGAUCCAACUAACCACAACAAAUUUGGCGCCAAUCUAAUUGAAAAUUUCAUUAAGUUGGUCUAGUGAAAUUUUUAGCAGAUUAAUUUUGUAUUUAGUAGGAGAGUUGGCAUGUAGGUUACAUAGCAACUUAGCUUAUCAUGUUUUUGAAAACGUAUGAAAUAAAAGUAUCUUGGAUCCACUGUAUCUCAUGAGCUAAUCCUGAAUAGGAAAAUUCUGCUACAUCAUUGAUUCUUCCGGUUGAAAUUAUAUAAUGUUAAAAAAUUAUAAAUUCAACGCCAUGUUCAGUAAAGGUUUAUGAUAUAUUUAGGGGGUGAGCAAACAAAAAACCAACAAAAAUACAUAUAUAUAUAUAUAGAUAUGUUUUUUCAAGCAUGCAUACACAGCAUAACACAAGGAAGAAGAGGAGCUGAAACCUGGUCAUGGAAAGCCUUUAUGAGCUUUUUCGCCAAGACCUCAGCAUCAAUCUAUUGACAUCAAAAUAUUCAAUAUCUAGAUUAGCUUUGUAUUUGAAUUAACAACUAAGCUUGUUUCGAAAAGAGAAAUGAAAUGAGAAAUAUAUCAAUACCUCUCUGCCCUGAGGACAAUCCAUCUCCAGCCAUACAUUGAGUUCCUCAAUCUUUUCAAUGCCAUUGGUAGCUUCAAAUCUUAUCAUAGUAGGAAAAUGAAUAUCACAAAGAGAAAUUCAUAAAACUGAAAUUUACGGUUUGCUACUUACUUUUCAAUAGUCACCAUAUUUCCUAUGGCAGUGUUGGCAGACACGCACUGGUCCUCAUUGAGGGCAAUUUCAUUCUCUCGCAGAGAACCAUCUUCAGUAUAAGAUAUUAAGGAACAAUUGCACAAAAAAGUUCUUUGCCACAAAUAUAUAAAAUUAACCACCGUUUUGGAUUAGAUUUUGUUUGGUAUAAAUGAAUUAUUCCAUGAAAUUUUAAGGAAUUCAUUUACAAAUCCAUUAUGUCAUGUUUUGCAUAAAUGAAAAUUCAAUUAAAAUAAAAAAUUCUGAUUCUACGGAAUUGAUUAUGCUUGAACCAAAUUUUAUCAAAACUUAUAGAAUCCACAGAUCAACUCUAAACUUUUGUAAGUGUGCAUGCUAUAAUAAGAAUUACUUAUGGAUCUACUCCAAAGAGUCAGUUAUGCUUGAACAGAACUCUAAACAUAACAAGUAAUUAAUUAACUCUAAUCACAAGCUCAAAAAAGUUUACUUGUAACCGAAAACUUUUAAUGAAAAUUCAUUUGCAUAUAAUUUCUUUUGAAUAAAUUUCAUUUCCAUAAUCGAUCCAACGACAAAGUGCCAAACUACAGAACGGUAUAAAUUUAAUUUCAUGACAUUAAAUUUUACGGGCUAAAAUAAAUAUUUCCAUUUAUAAGAUUUUUUUCAUGGAAUUUCAUUUAUAAACAAGAAAAAACAAGUUACGAGUACAUACUUCGAAAGGAUAUUCCAGACUCACAACAAAAUUGCCGCCAUUGAGUCUUGCAUAGCGAGGCUUGGAAACGCUUUUAGGGUAAAAUCCAAUCGGAAAGCAAGGAAUUGGGCGCGGGUUUGCCCCAGAUAGAUAUUUCAAAUAAGCUUUAUUGGUGUGUCUAUUACCAUCAUGAACUGAGAUGACCAACAUUUUCGACUCCAUGAAUAAUGGGGACCAAGGAGAGAGAUUUCAGGAAACGGCAAAGAUACUGGAAGAGAGAGAAAAGUUACAGCAGAAAAACAAGAGAGAAAUCAGGAAUCGCGGUUAGAUACUUGGAGAGAGAUAGUUGACAGAUUAUGAAAAGGGUAUAUUUGAUAGAAGGCUCGCCACCCUAGGACGCCUGAACUGUGACAAACGGAAUAUGGUAAAUUGUCAAAGACGAAUAAAUUUUUUAAUUUAUGUUAUAAAACAAAAUUUUCUAUUUUCGUUUACUUGUUUUAUAUGAAUGGUCAAAAAGGAUAAAUGGAUUGUUUUUUUCUGUUUUUUUUUUCUUUUAAGAUACUAGAGGAAGGGAUGAAACCCCAGGAAGAAGACAAAAGAUCCGGUCUAAACCCAAAACAGGAUCAGGGGGUUGAUGAAAGAAGGCUACACCUAUCAAUAGCCAUCUUCGAAUCGACAUAUGGGAUUGUUUGAGAACAAGGGCCAAGCAUCAUUAAUCGUUAAUUGAAGUAGUAUAAUUUGUGGGCUUAUUUUCACCCGUGGUUCCUACAGAGAGUAUUGCUCAGUAGACAUGGCUACGGCCGGUUUCGGUUCCAAAAAAUCGAAAAUUAACGGUUUCGAUUGCGGUUUGAAAUCGAACGGUUUUGGUUUUAAUUUCGGUUCGUUAACGGUUCUAAAACCGAUGGUUCUGGCUGGUUUUCUAACCGAUUUCGACCAAUUCUGACCGGUUCCUAACGGUUCCGACUAGAAAAACCGAUUCUGACCAAUUCUGACCGGUUCCGAACGGUUCCGACUGGAACUGAAAUUUUCAGUUCCAACUGGUUUUGGGAACCGACGGUUUACGGUUCCAAAACUGGUGAAAUCGAAAUCGAACCGAUUCAAACCGAACCGAACCAAUUGGUUAAUUCAUAUUUUACUUUUUCGUACAAACUACUUGUAAUAUUAUUUUGUAUGCAUUUAAUUCUAUUUUUAUAUAACGAAGUGAUCUCAAAAUAAAGUUCAACUCAAUCCUAAGACCUAAUCUUUUAGUCCCUAAUUUAUAAAUACAGAUUCUUAAAACUUUAAUAGGUGCUCAAAAACAAAUCUAGCCACCACUCAACCCCCAACUAUUGCUCUCGAUCCCAAAAUCAAUAUCUAUAUAGGUAAAAGAAAAAAAAAAAAGAGAGAGAGAAAAUGAUUUGAAUUGACAAUGGUAAUCACUUUUGCGAUAGUGUCAAUAUUACUUAAUAAAUUUCGCACUUCAUGCGCGGUAUUAAUAAAUUAUUUGAAUAACUAUUAUUAUGCUAUUUUGAAAAAGUUUUGAUUUAUAACUUGAUAUUAAAUGAUAAAAUCUUAAAACAAUAACAAAUUAUCCUAUUUUUAAAUUAAAAAUGAUUGAUUAUUUAAUAUUUUGAAAUAAAUAUAACAAUAUAUUUUUUAAAGAUUUUCUUUAAUAAAACCUGUAAUGUUUUGCAUACAUACAUAAGAAAAUAUGUGUGUAAGACCAUUAAUAAUGUUGUAGAGGUCUAAAAUGUCGUAAGCGAUAUUUUUAAGGACCGGUUUUAGUGCUUUAAACCUUCUUUUAUAGAAUUCACACAUACUUAUAAAUGCCAUACAUGUUUCAACUUGAUGCUCUUUUGAAAGACAACUUGUCAAAUUUGAAGAAUUGCAAGUUCCUAAAUUUGAAUUGCUUUGAUGAGCUGAGAAGGAUCAAGAUUAUUAUCUAAGCCACCAGUCCUUUUUUUUUUUCUUUUUAUUGUGUUUGCAAGUUCUAAAAUAUAUAAAAUAAGCAACUUAAUCAUAUUUUCCAAAAUUCUAGUUUUUGAAACAUCAUGAAACUAUAUUCAACUUAAAAAAUAAAAAAUAAAAAUAAAAUAUUAUCACUUAGUCGAGUAAUUUAGUCGUCUUCUCCGCUAUGCACUCGGUUGUAUAAAUUAUAUUUUUGUUUAAAUUUCCUUUAAUUAUUUUAUAAAGUGAAAUGGUGUAUAAAAAAUAUCAACAAAUUUAUUAUAUAAAAAAUAUAAUUACUUUCAUUAAUUUAUUUGUAUUUCACAAUGAAAAAGAAUAUUAAUAAUAUUUUUAUUUUUUUAUAUUUAUCCAAACUAAAAAUUGCCUACAACAAGUUUUAGAAUCCAAUCUAUGAUAAAAUUGCUACAAUUACAUUAUCUACACCAUUAACCCAAAAUAACUGAAAAUACAUUAGUUGCAAUCACAUUGAGUUGCAAGAAUUUCCAGUUAACAAUAUACAAAAAAUAAUGAUUUAGGGCCAAAGAGAAAUAAAACAAAUUAAAAAAAAAAAAAAAAGUUAAAAGUUGGCCAAAAUCCAUUUUACUAUUAUAUUCGGCUUCUAAAUUGAUAAAUAAAAACUACAAUAUCGUUGAGAAGAGAAUACUAAUAUUUGAUUAAAAAGAAAAUACAUUAUAAGAGGUUAAGAUUUGCAAUUGAAAGAGACCUCAAAAAAGAUCGAGAGAGCUAGAGAUUUUCAAAUACAAAAAGGUUUAAAGACAAAAUGAGAGAAAUAGAAUAAAGAGCAUUAAAAGUUCAUUUUAUAUAUAUAUAUAUAUAUAUAUAUAUAUANNNNNNNNNNNNNNNNNNNNNNNNNNNNNNNNNNNNNNNNNNNNNNNNNNNNNNNNNNNNNNNNNNNNNNNNNNNNNNNNNNNNNNNNNNNNNNNNNNNNNNNNNNNNNNNNNNNNNNNNNNNNNNNNNNNNNNNNNNNNNNNNNNNNNNNNNNNNNNNNNNNNNNNNNNNNNNNNNNNNNNNNNNNNNNNNNNNNNNNNNNNNNNNNNNNNNNNNNNNNNNNNNNNNNNNNAUAUAUAUAUAUAUAUAAGGAAAAAAGAUUAAAAAAUUUAAAUAUUAUACAAUGAUUAAUAUUAUUAUAUUAUAAUAGUUAAGAACUUCAUAAAAUUGGAGAAAAGUGAAAGUAAAAAACUGAAAAAAUUGUAGAAAAGUAAAAGUAAAAUACUGUUAUUUGUUAAGUAGAAACUAAAAAUUCAUCUUUGUGAGAUAUUUAACAUUAUCAAAAUAAAAAAUUUACAAAAAUAAAGAAGAAAAUUCAAAAAUAUAAAUAUACAGAUCGUAGAAAAGUAAAAGCAAAACACUCAACAACGUGAUAAAUAGAACCUAAAAAAUUCAUAUUUAAAUAGGUAGAUUAAAUGAGUAGAUUAGAUUAGAUUUCAAAGUAUAUAAAGUUUUAGAUAGAUUAGGUUGAAUGAUUGGAUUAGAUUUCAAAAUUAUCAAUUAUCAUUAUUAUAUAUUUUAAAAACCCCAAAAAUUGACUAAAAAAAAAUAUAGUUCUAGUUUCUUUUCAAUAUUUCUAAACAAUAAUUUCUUUCAAGUCAAACUGAUUUAGUAUCAAAGAGAAAAAAUAUUAAGAAAAUUAAAAGUGUUUAGUCAUCAAGAGACUGUCUAUUGUCACGACCCGAUUCCAUGGGCCGGACCGGCACUAGGCCCCAGGUAAGCUUAAGGCCCCCGAGGCCCGUAGUAAGUCUGAAACACUAAAAUUUGCUAUCUCAAUAUAAAUUUCAAAUAUUCAGCCCAUAUUACUAAAAAAAUAAACCUCAAGAUUUUAUUUCAUCUUGGCCCAAAUUUAUCUUCUACAAAAUUCCACAGUUCGGGCCCAAUUUACAAUACAUCACAUUUCUAAUAUAGGCUCACAGAAUCAUUUCGUCUAUGAUAAUACACGACUAAAUGUAAGUAAAUUCUACAACUGCGGAGUCACUAACUAUUUGGUAUACAUAGCUUUUUAUACAUAUAAUUACAUAGUAAAAUGAUUAUAGAACUAGGAAAAUUUCUUUAUAGCCAUGCGGUGAAGAAACAUAGGUUAUACCGAACUAAAGAGAAACUUACUUCCUGAAAAAUUAAACAAGACAUGUGAGUUUUUUUAAGGAAUAAUAAUUAUUACACAACACACGCAGUCACACAUAUGUGUAAAUAUAUCAAUCUAGUCAUCCGACUAGUUAUAUGCUCACGCAGCCAGUCACACAAAUGGCAUGUCACCAGCACUCACAAACAAUUUCACCUUCAAAUAAUCACAUCACGUGGAAANNNNNNNNNNNNNNNNNNNNNNNNNNNNNNNNNNNNNNNNNNNNNNNNNNNNNNNNNNNNNNNNNNNNNNNNNNNNNNNNNNNNNNNNNNNNNNNNNNNNNNNNNNNNNNNNNNNNNNNNNNNNNNNNNNNNNNNNNNNNNNNNNNNNNNNNNUCCAUAUCAACAGGAGGCAACCCGGUGGUCUCCAUCCAAUCUAGAUCAUCAAGUGCUCACAACAGGAGGCACCCUGCGGGCUACAAUCAAAUCUAGAUUAUCAGGUGCGCAACAACAAGAAGCCAUCCUGUAAAUCCCCAUAUAAUCUAUAUCAUCAGGUGCACAAGGGGCGGCCGAUCUCCCAUUUUCCGGGCCGACGGUCAAGUAUCCUAUCUUAUUCAGGAUCCAUAUCACAGACCGUCCUCACAAACCCAUGGUGGUCCACUUCAUCCCAAUUCNNNNNNNNNNNNNNNNNNNNNNNNNNNNNNNNNNNNNNNNNNNNNNNNNNNNNNNNNNNNNNNNNNNNNNNNNNNNNNNNNNNNNNNNNNNNNNNNNNNNUAAAAAUGGGACUAUCCACCUGUUUAAAUAUCAAAAAUUUCAUUCAAUAUUAACUCAAUCCACACAGCCCAUCCGUCGGGCAAUCAAUCAAAUCAAAUACCCAUCCGCCUUCAAUAAUAUAUCACCAAUCAACCAAAAUUUACAAAUUAAAAGACCUUCAACUAUUCUAGGAAUAUUAUCAAUAAUUCUUUGCUUAAGGUAUAAACAAUAUCAUUAAACAUUUAUUAAAGUUCUAGACUAACUAUUAAGAACUAAUAUUUCAAUUAAAUUACAAUUUAAUAAAUUCUUCUACUAGAUAACUCAACUCGAAACUUAACAUAUAACUAAAGCUUCAUAAAUUUCUCCGUCUUAACAUAAAAAUACCACUUCUAGAUAUAGCUAAAGAGUUUUACAAUUGAAUCGUUAAAUUUGCAGGAAUAUUGCUAUCAAGCAGUAACCAACACUAACCAACAUAAGAGUAUUGAAAAUAUAAAUAUAUUUACAUACAUCUGUUUCCAUACCAAUUAUUUAAAAUGGUACGAAGUACCUGAAAUAGCUACUGCGCUCAAGAAAAAUAUAUUUUUGCUUAAACUUGAGCUCAUAUCGCAUUAAGAACUUGGUUUAUGACUUCGCAUAUUCAUCCCAAACACUAUAAUUCAAGAAAUCAACUAUAUAAUUACUGCUAGCUCAAGGAUUUCAAGAUUUCCUAUUUAGUACCCAUAAUAUAUCCCACGGUUUUGCACAUUUUUUUUUUUUAUUUAUAAAAAUUCAGUUUAUAACUCAUUCAAAUUGGAAACAAUUCAAUUCCUCCUACCUAGGAUAUCGAGAACUUGACCAUAUAGCUAACUAGUUGUUUUUAAGCUAAAGAAUGCUUAAUUCUUCACAAGGAUUUAUAAUAAACGCAAUAAUCUAACCAUCCCAAUAUAGGAAUCAUUUAUAUACCGAUUUCAAGAGCAAAAAUUCAAAAUUUCCAUUCACAUUCGCCUAAACAGUAGCUAAAUUUAUGAAUUCCGGCAUAGAUCAAGUACUAGCGAUAAUGUUGCUGUCAUAAUCAUGCUAUAUCUAUUCUUNNNNNNNNNNNNNNNNNNNNNNNNNNNNNNNNNNNNNNNNNNNNNNNNNNNNNNNNNNNNNNNNNNNNNNNNNNNNNNNNNNNNNNNNNNNNNNNNNNNNNNNNNNNNNNNNNNNNNNNNNNNNNNNNNNNNNNNNNNNNNNNNNNNNNNNNNNNNNNNNNNNNNNNNNNNNNNNNNNNNNNNNNNNNNNNNNNNNNNNNNNNNNNNNNNNNNNNNNNNNNNNNNNNNNNNNNNNNNNNNNNNNNNNNNNNNNNNNACGCGACUGUCUCGAGUGAAAUGGAAUCGCGACUCGCUCGUGAUUUCCAUGCUUCGCCAGAAUCGGAGACGAAGAAGGAGAGGGAGAAGCUCGCUGUCGAUGAAGGGGAGGACUGGAACCGUUCGGUGGUGACAAGGUCGCCGGAAAAUCAGUGGAGUUGCAAUGCAACUUCCCGAUCGAAUGAAUCGCAGGCUUCCUGCGACAGCCGCGCUAUCCAGAGACAACAGAGGUGAGGGAGAGAAAGAGCGGCACGGGGACCGGCGGGGNNNNNNNNNNNNNNNNNNNNNNNNNNNNNGGAAAAACGAGAGGAGGAGAGGGGAGGGAUGAGGUCGACGCUGUUGAAAGAAAAAGAAAAGAAAAAAAAGAAAAGAAAAGAAAGGAGAAUUCUAAAGCUUCUAGACCAUUCCGGUUCGAUUCGAACCGGUUUGGUCUAAUUCUAUGAUUUGGCUCAAUUCUAAAUCGAAUUGGUUUACGGGUCCAGUUUAGCAAUAAUAAAAUACUAGCUGGUAUAAUCUCAUUGGUUGAAAUAAAAAAUUUAGUUUUUAAAUGAAAAUUCUACGAAAUUAAAUUUUCGGGUCGUUUCAUCUAUUUAUUGUAAGAGAGAUAUAAAUAUCUUACUAAAUUAAAGUGAAUUUAUACACAAUUCGUUGUAGUUAUUUUAUUAUUUUUUUAAUUUUAUUUUGAUUAUAAUUUAAAGUGUUUUAUUUAGGAGAGAGAUAAAAAUAGCAAAAAAUAUAUUUGUUUAUUAAUAUUCUUUCUUCUCUAUGUUUUUUUUUUUUUUUUUGAGAAAAAUCAAACUAAAAUUUCAUUAAUUGGAAACUAUAUAAAUUCACAAGAUACAGAUUAAUAUGUUUUUAUAUUUUUGUAUAGGAUGCCUAAUAAUAAACAUCGUAUACAAACUUACAAAGAAUAAAAAAAAUACAAUUUUGAUUUGAAGUAUCUGAUCGAGUUGACAGAACAUAAUAUUUAUGUCAUAGGCGAUCGCUUGCUCCACUUGGUGGCUAUUCAUGGGCACUGUUCGACUCCCUCGUCUUUCUACAAGUCCGAUCUGAUUACUUUCAAAUUUCUUAUUUCUAUUGAAGAGGAGAUCUGCACUUCUUUCUGCAUAACUAUCCAAAUAAUAAAGGACGCUAGACAAAAUCACAAUAAUGGUGAUAAUAAUAACUCAGAACUAGAUCUAAGGACAAAAUUUCAAUAUAUGGACAACAAUAAAUUUCAAUAUAUGAGCGAUAAUUAAUCAGAUCUAUAAACAUGUCUGAUGAUUAUUUGCAAAAAAUCAAACAAAACAAGAAAAAAAAAAAAAGGAAAUGGGUGACCACCGGUGAUAGCUUGUGGCCUCCCAUUUUUUUUCUUUAUGUUUGUAUGAUUUGAUUGGAUAUAUUUUUUAAAAAUUAAACAAUUUAUCCCAUAUAUGAUAUCUAAGAAUAGAAAGAGAGGAAGAGAACGAAUAGAAAUAGUAAGCUGAAAGGAAUCGUAUAAUAUAUUUUGCAUACUUUGCACUUAGCUGGAAUUAUUCAAUAUGUUCAAAAGAAAUAUUAUUAUUAGAUUAAAUAUUUAAUAUUAUAUUAAUUAAUUGUCUAAGAUUUCCUCAAAAAAGAAAACUUAUAUUUCUUUUUAAUUUUAGGGAUGUUUUCUAAUUUUAAGGAUAUUAAAAUAUCAGAUAAAACUGUUUCAGGUUGGUUUUUAGUUUUCAUGGAUAAACUAAAUUUUUUUGUUCGGUCUUUAUUUCUAGUGAAACCAAUUGAACUAAUUAGAUUUUGGACUAAAUGUAAUGUGAGGUUGUUUUCAUUUUGAAAAUUCACUUUAAUUUUGAUUUAAUUCGGUGUGGUUUCAAAUUAAGGUGAUCGUGUAUGCUCACUUACUUAAAAUUAGUAUCAAAAGUUAUCCUUCAUUUUAUUAAGUAAAACCACUUGAUUAAAAAUUGUAAAACAAAAUUUUUUUUACAAUAUCAUAUAUAAUGACUUUCUUACUUGGUCAAACAUGUAAAAAAUCAAAAUUUUUAUAAUUAUCCAUAAGUUCUAUGAAAUAUAAAGCACAAUUUAACUGUUUAUUUGAAUCUUAUCUGGUUUAAACAAAUUUUAUAUAAUUUAUAGAUAAAUUCACAUAUAUUUUUUAUUUAGUAUAAACAAAAAUUUUUUGGAGUUUAGAUUUUUUUUAUUUAUUAAUUUGAUUAUAUUUGAAUUAAUUUUUUUUAAAAUUGAUAAAAUUUAUAAAUAAUUUUCAAAUUAAAAGGCAUACAAACUAUUAAAUACCAAUUAUUUUAAAAUAUAAAUUAUUUAAACUCACAUAGAUUUAACUUGAUUAAAACAUUUAACUUAUUUUUAACUAUUUAUGCAUUCUAAAAUUAAAAAAAUUAUACACAAUAUAAAAAGAAAAAUUAUAAUAAAUAUUUAAUAUUGUAUAUGAAAAUAAACAAGUAUAAACUACGAGUAUUAAACGAGCUUUGAGAUUUUAAUUUAUAAAAACAAAUAUGUAGGACUUUGAAUUUUUUGAAUUUAAUCUCAUUUACAUCUAUCUAUAAACUUGAUAAAGGAUCUUCCAUUACGGAUAUUGUUGUUUGCAUAUUGAUCCCAUAUGGAGCUAAGAACUUUAAGCAAGUCAUUUUUAGAUUUUGUUUUAAAGACAUGGAGUCCAAAACAUUACAUACUAUUGAUAAAAUUUCAGAUUAACUUUGUCUAACAAAAAUAAUUAAUGUGAAGAUCAAAUUUAUAUUUUAUAUUGUUGCUAUAUAGAGCAAGUCUUGAUUUAUUAGAUUAAUGUCAUAACAUUGCCAAAUUAUAAAAUAUUCUAUAGUAUGGUAAAUGCAAAUUUUUAGUGAUUUAUAUAAUCAAUUAAUAAUAAAAUUAUAUUUUUUAUUAAAGAGAGAAACAAAAAUAUUGUCUUCUUUUUACUUAGAUAACAACAAAGUCAACAUGCAACGCACGUCAUAAAAGAACUAGUAAUAAAUAAAAUAAAAAUCAUGUUAAGUUGAUAUAUAAAAUCAUAUUCAUAUAAAAAUUAUGGUGAAUAAGUAUAUUGCAGUGAGUAUUUGAAUAAUUAUUAUUUUGACAUAUUUAGUUAUAUAAUUUUUUAUAUAUAAAUACUUCAAUCAUUUAUGAUAUAAUUAUGAAUAAUAAUAAUUUGUCUAUACAUUAAAUAAAUGACAUUAUAUUCUGGACUUAUCUAUGACAUAUAUUAGAAAAAAAAUAUUCUAUGUAAAUAAUUGAAAUAAUUAUUGUAAUACUUAUAAUUAACUAUUCUAUAAUUAUAAUAUUUAAUAUCAUGAUAAAACACACAUACCAACUAGUACUAAUAUAAAUAUUAAACAUAAAUAAUAAUUAAAUAUCAUCAUUAUAUAUAUAUAUUUUUUAUACGUUGGAGGGGAGACAACCCUAAGAAAAACAAGACUAACGUAAGUUAGGCCCAAGCCGAGGCAAGCUGAUUCCCUGCAAAUCCCAAUUUUGAAAUUGAAGCACUUGAACCGGAGGAUGCGAAAUGAUCGUCUUGACUAGACGCCCCAAGAUAAUGAGAUUAGCCUAGCUAUCUGCCACUUAGUUGGCUUCACGAAAGCAAUUUUGCAAUCGGACAGUCCAAUCCUUACUCAAGAGAGCCUGAAACUUCAUUAUCAACCUUCUUAGCCUAAUAUUCUGCAAUCAAGCAUCUUCAAGAAAUUGCUUCGACACCCAAGUCCAUCUCCGCAACAACAAGCCUAAAACCCAUGUCUUAGGCCAUUUGCAAGCCAUUCAAAAUUGCAUGCAACUCUGCUUCCAUAAAUGAGCAAAGUCUCAACCUAACCAUAUAGCCACACACGAAUGACCAUAACUAUCAUGGAGGACACCACCACAUCCGCUUCUUCCUGGAUUCCCCUUAGAAGCCCCAUCAGAGUUGAUUUUAAUCCAACCCACAAGAGUAGGCUGCUAAGAAACCCCAAUCAGCGCCUUAUGUGUAGGAGUGUUACAGAAUUGCCAUGCCAUAUAGACAAGUUGGCUUUUAGUUGGCAUUGAAGAAUAUAGAGCUUCGAAAUAAGAGGGCGUGUAUCCUACUGGAAAAUAAAGGCAUUCUGCCACUUCCAAAUCCACCAUAAACCAAAACAUAGAACAUGAACAGGAUUAAAGGAGGGGACGGAAGGACUUGACAGAGUUGAUGCCUGGACCAGCCAAUCACACACUGCCACCUAGAAAAGUCAACCAAGGAGUUUGGAUCCUAUACCAGCUCCCAAACCAUAAUACCUCUUUGAUCAAGAAUGUUCUCUAACUCCGUCCUCAACCGUUGUUCUAAGCCCAUAAUAAGGUGCACCAGCAAGUUUAAUCUGAACCCCUCUAAUGCAGGCUAAAAGCCAUCUGAUUUAUGGUAAAUGUCCCCAAAGAUAUUAUUUUUCCAAAAAUCAAUUUGAUUUCUGAAAGAGAGAAGGUUAUCCAGGAAAGGACCUACAGCACCCCAAUUACACUUUGUAAAAUUAGCAAACCCAAAGUGGCAAAACCAGACAGAUUGAAAAUGGAAGGCAAAUUGCCUUUGAGGAUGUGCUUGUUCCUCCAAAUGGAUUAACAAGAGACAAUGAUCAAAGAGGACCCUUUCUAGAUGAAGCACUGACGCGUUAGGAAAGAGAGCUCACUAUUGAGAAUUAUAGAGGGCUCAGUCAAGUCUUGCAGCUUUGAAGGACAAGGUAUUACCUCUCCACCAAGUAAAGCGGGCACCUACAAAACCCAUAUCAAUAAGCCCCAUAUACUGCACCCAUUCUCUAAACUCGGCGCACCGAGACUCGAUAUGAGGCCCAAUACUAAUAGUCUCCUCAGGGGCCAUAAUAGAAUUAUAAUCACUUGCCAAGAUCCAAGGGGCAUUAGAGGAUAUGUUAAUCGCCAAAAGUGAAGAGAAUAAGGAGGAAUGAUGUUGCUCACAAGGCGAUCCAUAAACAGCAGUAAAAUUCCAAGACAACACUAGAGGGUUGUCAACUCUACAAUGGAUGAACUGAGCAUGAGCGUAAACAGCUGAAACUGAUCCAAGCGAACCAAACAACCCUACUCAAGCCCAUUGCUUCCACACGAAUCCGAUCAUUAAACCCUAGGUUUAAAGAAAUUCCAUCUGCAUGAAUGCCCGAAAUCUUCAGUUAAAAUAAAAUGAGAAUACCCGGCUUAAACCUCGCAUAGUAAUCUUUGAGGACUCACAAACUUCUCUUAGCUGGAAUUCCUUGUAUAUUCCAAACUACAAUGGACAUAAAGGCAACCCACGAGAGAGAGAAAAAGAAAUACCCCAUUUAGAAGGACAAGAGCCAUUAUUGCACACCCAAAAGGGUUUCUUCAUCUUCCAAAGAAGAGUAGGGCACAUGAAUAACACUAGCUGGAUAUCCAUUAAUCGAAACAAUAGGAGCAUCCGACAUCUCCAAAUUCGAUGCAAAAUUUUCAACUCAGGAGGGAUGCUUUUUAUCGAGAUGAUGAACAUCAUCGAUUGAAAAUACCACGUAUGGGUUUGAACAAUUUGCACCACUCCCAACUAUGCACAUAACUGCAUCUGGAUCUAGAAUUUGAAUAGCAUUACUCAUAUCCUGAGUCUCCAUCGUGCUCAUACCUUUCUUGUCAACCACCACUGUGCCAGAGCUCAUGGCUGUAACAAUAAUUAGAGAUUUUUUAAAGGAUGGGAAGAGGGGUAGGAUGGAGGAGGGAUAGACUCACAAUUAUCGGGUUGGGCUAUGGAAAGUUUAUUUACCUUGCUGUUAGAGGAGGAAGCGGGCUGAUAAAGGACAAGCCCAGCAACAGGCUUAGUGAAGGAUUGAUUGAAUGGAGCUUUUUUUAGGGCUUUUGGGUUUAUAAAUAGAGCCUGAUGCAAUAAUGGGUUGUGAUCUGGGAGUAGAUGGGACCUUAUAUGCAUAGAUACAUUCUGGGCCACGGAAUCAGUGGGAUUCACAUCCUUUUCAAAAUCAAACUCCAAUAAUGAAGUAAAUCUAGAACCAGCAGUACUAGAGGCUGCGACAUUAACGGGAGCAGAGUUAAGAGUUCCUUAACAAUUUACCUUAUUUGUUCCUUUUGUUGACUUUCCGUCUGAGACAUGUUUUCUUGGGAUACGUCGUCCUGGAUUCCUUGCCAACAUCUAAGGUCCAAAUUUGUCGAACGGCUUCCAGUGAGAAGGAGGGGUCAUAAGGAGGGGAUGGGGGAGCAAAAUGUUGAUAUUUCUAGGGUUUCCUGGCGUGGAAUUUGCGUCUCUUGAGUCUCUUAUAGGUUGACUGGACUGUUCAAGUCUUUGCAUGAAUCCAUGGGGUGGCUAUGACAUUCACAGUUAAAACAUAUUAAAUGAAUGCCUUCGUACUCUAUCCUUUUGAUUUGUCAUUGUAGUCUAAACUUAGAUAGAAUGGGGGUUUAGACAAGUCCACUUCUUCGCAAAUCCUAGCAUACUUCCCCUAGAAGCUUCCAAUGUGGUGUCAUCCACCCUAAUAGGUUGCCAAUGCGCCUACCCAGUCUGAGGAGAAAACUUUUGGUGUAAUAUUCAAUAGGCAAGUUGGGAAUACGGACCCACAUCAUAGUUUUAUCAAUGGUUGCCAACUCAAGGUCGAAAUUAUAUAGUAACUAUACUGUAAUCACUUGCAUUCUAAUUCAUCAUAAUUAUAGACAUUCUAAUUAUAACUAGUACUAUAAUCACAAUAUUAUAAUCAUAACUAAUCUUCUAAUAAUAUUAUAAUUAUCAUCUUUUUCAUUGUAGUUAUGAUUAAUACUAAUACUAUAAUUAUAUCACUCAGUAUUAUAAUAACUAAUAAAUAUGUAGUACUUAGUAAUGAAAUAUAUUUAGCUAUUUCAUAUGAAUUAUUUAUACAUAAAGAAAAUAGUUAUAAUUAUUUAAUACUUCAUUAUUGUAUAAUUAGAGUUAGUAUUCUAAUAGUAUUAUAAAUAUAAUUAUUUAUUUAUAAUUAUUAUAAUUAGAAGUUUAAUUAUAUGAAUUAAUUAUACAUAAAAAUUUACAUAAUUACACGUUUUUUUCUCACCUGAUACAUCCAACGCAAUCACCAUCCUCCUUCAAUCUUCUCUCCUUCAUCUCUUUCUCUCUUAGGUGUUUUGAGAGAAAAGAAAGUAAUUAGAUGGUGGCUAGAGUUUCAUUUUUAGAUAUUAUCAUACAAUGAUAAUAUUAGUUAUUAUUUAUAUUUAAUUCUUAUAUUAGCACUAGUUAUAAUUUAUGUUUUAUUACUAAUUAAGUAUUAUAAUUAUAGAGUAGUUAACUAUAAGUAUCAUAAUAGUUAUUUCAAUUGUUUAUAUUCAAAAAUUUUCAUAAUUGACUAUGCUAAGAUAAUAAUUAUCGAAAUAUUUGAUCCAAUACACUUAUUUACUAUAAUUUUUAUUUAUGGGCACGAUUUUAUAUAUCUAUUUAACAAUUAUUUUAUUUCAUUUAUUUAUAAUUUAUAAAUUAAUUUAGUUAUAUAAAUAAGUACCUUUGAAAGAACAAAUGUUUGAAGUAGUUAGCACCCAAGGUGAUAGUCCGGUGAUAAAGAUGUUGAUCAUCCGCCUACUUGAUCUAGGUUCGACCUCCAUGAUAGCAUCCUAUUACGCAUAAUGUCUAAACAUUGACUCGACUGCCUAAAAGCUAUGGUCCACUUUAUGGGCUGCCUUAGGCCGGAGGGUAUGUGAUCCUGCAAGGGCGUGUUCUUACUUGAAAUGCUAUGAAUGAUAAACUUAUGACAUAAGUAUGUAAUUUCCUUGUAUGAGCAUGCUUGAUUGGAUUUUGAAUUAUUACAUGCUUUAUGUCUUUGAUUAUAUUAAAUGAUGAAUUUGAAUGAUUUUAUGAAACCUUAGUAGCCAAUACAACUUAUGAAUGUAUGAGUAUGUUAGCACAACUAACUUAAUGGAUGAUGUAUUUGAAUGGAUCUUUUCUUCUGAUGUAUGCCAAAAAUGCAAAAAUGAAUCCAUUUCUUAUCCUGGCUUGUUACAGCCUCUGCACGUUCCUACUUAGGGUUGGUUAUAUAUAUCUAUAGAUUUCAUUGAAGGUCUACCUAUAUCAGCUACUAAAAAUGCUAUUUAGUAGCGGUGGACAAGUUCUCUAGGUAUGCCCGCAUUAUUGCUAUAUCACACCCAUUAACUGCUGCAAAGAUUACUCCGCUGUUUCUGGAUAACAUUUUCAAACUGCAUGAUAUGCCUUAGAAGAUUGUGUUUAACAAGGACAAAGUUGUUACCAGUUUAUUGUGGAAACAAAUUUUCAGGCUGUGGGUAUUAAGCUCAACUUUUCAAGCAAAAUAAUAGGCGUCUCGCAAAAUGUGGUAAAAGUUACAGAAAUUAGCGGUGGAUUCAUGUGUAGGCACACUAUGAUAUGUUAUCAACAUAUAUUUAUUAUACAUUAGAUAAAUAUUUAUAUAUAUUAUACUCAAAUUUCUUCCAUCAUUUAUCAUGGAUACUAACUCGAACACCAUGAAGAAAGUCUGCUUGUUUUACUCUAAUCUGCUUUUUAUUUACUUGCCCUAGCAUAUUAGGAUCUGCACGGACAAUAGCAUGGGAGAGAGCAGAGUUAACAGCACUGGCAAGCUCAGCCCCGGUCCAACCAACAGUCAUGGAAGCUACAUGAACAGACAUUAAAAUUAUCAGAUUACCUUGAAGAAUUCAUCCAGUCGCUGUAAGUAACAAAAAUCCAAGGCAAAAUGACUUGCCUAUUUGUUCAAGGUUCACAUCUGAAUGGAGUAAACCACAAUGGUUCAUCCUUUGUGUGUGAAUCUUUAAUAUGUUUACACGACCUUUCUCAUUAGGAAUCCCGAUUUCAAUGCGGAGAUCCAGUCUGCCAGGUCUGCACAGAAAAAUAUUUAAAGUUCAAUAUUAUCCAUGGCUGAAAAAUAUUUAGGGAGAAAUAUCUGCAGGAAAACAGCCUGCCGGAAAAACAGGAUGAGAAUACUGCCAUGUAAGGCUGUUAAUUACCAUGGCUUCCAGUAUCUAUUUCUAGUUAUGCAUAGGAAAUUUUAAUUUAUGAAAUAUUUGAUAUCUCCUGCUACAAUGUCUUUACUCUGCAGCAACAGUACUGUGCGCAGGCCUGAAUAAUCUCCAACUUCGUUUCUCACUCUGGCAAGCUCUAAUUCAAUUUCCUAGUCUAAGCUAAGAACCUUAAAACCCAUCUAUUUCUUGAGAUAUCCAAAAUGUGCAAGUGUUCAUACACUAGUUACUCUUUCUACAUCAAAAGCUAGAAACUUUCAUUGUUCUUUUAAUCAUUCUAGGAUUGGAAAUUGGCAGGAGUAAGUAUUAAAAAAGAAUACCAUUGAUGGAGGGCUUUUGUGGGGCUCAAAUCCAUUCUAAUUAUGGCUCUCUAAAUUAAAUAAUAUUUUGCUUGUUCCUAAAAUUGUCAAAUUUAUUAUCAGUUCAAAAAUUUACUGCUAAUAACAAUGAUUUCUUUGAAUUCUAGCCUGAUUAUUUUAUUGUUAAGGAUCAAAUUUCAAGGAAAAUUCUGCUGCACAGACCGAGUGAGCAUGGUACAUAUACCAUGCGAUCCAUUCCAAUGAAGAAAGACGCAUCCAUGUGUGAGACAUGCUCUGCAAGAUAGACAUCACAAAUUAGGUCAUCCAAGUUCGAAAACUGCAUCUAAAAUUGUUAAUCAAUUCAGUUUACCUUGUCAAAAGUCUCAAAUUGUGUCUCCUUGUACUUCUUGUUUACAAGGCAAACUUGCUCGCCUUCCAUUAGCUCCGGUUAGUCACCAUAGUCGAGCAACCUUUGACAUUAUUCACUCUGAUGUUUGGGGGGCCAGCCCCACUUUUGUCUUCUUUAGGUCAUAGAUAUUUCGUUAUUUUCAUUGAUGAUUUUAGUCGUUAGUGUUGAGUGUACCUCUUGCAUAAUAAAAGUGAUGUCUUCAAUAUUUUUCGGAACUUAGAGCAAUUGAUUUUGAGGAAAUUCAAUACCAAAAUUAAAGCCUUUCAUUUAGAUCGGGGGGAGAAUUUCAUAAAUUAAACAUGACAUUAUUCACCGAAUUGCUUGUCCCUAUACACAUGAACAAAUAACGUCUCUAAAUGGAAAAUCCAUCAUAUGUCAUAUUGUUGAUACUGGUCUUACUCUUCUUUCUCACUCUCAUGUUCCACUCAAAUAUUCUUUCUCUCACACCCGUACUAAGCAUAUCGAGUUAGAUUCUCACUUUGUUCGCGAGUUAGUUAUCCUUGACAAAUUGACAAUUCAAUAUGUUUAAGUGCAAACCAAAGCUAGGUCUACUUUCCAAUCUAACAUUAGCUUGAGGGGGCUGAUAAGGAAAUAUGUUUUUCUAUAUUUAUCUUUUAUCUCUUAGUAACUAAGUCUAUCACUUGUAAUCAUCUGUAAUUAUCUUUAUCUCAACUAAGUCUAUUAUACAUACAUACAUGUACAUCCACCAUUACGAAUAAAGAAAACACUAAGAUCUUUUUAUAAAUCUUCACAAAGGUAAUGUUAAGUUUUUGGGCUGUUUAGCAAAGAGUUUACAGACAGAGAAGUAUUCUGAUGCUUAUUUGCGAGAUUGAAAAUUCCCAAAAAUCGUUCAUUUUUCAAUCUAUCAAAUUAACUUUUGGAGGCAAUUAAAAAUUUUUGUUUCUCAUAUUAUUCAUUUUUAUUUUUUAAAAGACCCAAAUUAUCCCCUUUCAUAUUUCUUUCUUUUUUUCUUCCUUCUCAUUCUCCUCUCCCAAUUGCUGCAGUAUUUAAAAUUUGUUCUAACUUCCUAAAAAUUAUUAUAUCUAAAAUAUAAUAAUAAUAAUAAUAAUAAUAAUAAAUAUUUAAAAACAUUUUUAUAACCAUAUUUUAAUUUUCAAAUGGAUGUCCUUGAAAAUUUAGUUCUGGAACACCUAGCAUAGAAAAUGAAGGAAAUUAUAAAUUUGUUCCCAUAUUAUGCCAAAAUUAAUUUCUCUCUCCCUCUAUUUUUUAAGAUACAACUAUUUUAUUCCCAUAUAUUUAUUCUGUCCAACUUUUUGUCCUUCUAUCAAUAUUUCCAUUUUUUGUUGUUAAAUUUAAAGAAAAAAACCAAGAUACCCUUUCGCUUCUUUCCUUCCCUUCCUCUCUCUCACAAUUGAAAUGCAUGAUAAUUAGAUGUGAAUCCUUGCGUUCAUUUAGAAGGUUAAUUAACUCCUUUUAAUUCUUUUUUGAGAAAACAUAAGGACAAAGUAAUUAAUUUUGACAUGAUAUGGAGACAAAAUUAUAAUUUCCCUAAAAUGAAUCCUCAACAAAACCUUAUACAACCAGACAACCCACAACUUCCCAACUUCAAGAUUGAACAUACAAUGAAAGCUAGGAACAAACGGAAAGUUUGAGAAAACACAAGCCAAGAAUGAUAAUCAAGGCAAGAAAAAAAAAAAUGAAGUAAAAUUCUUAGGUUCUUUUACAUCCUAAAUUAAUUAAUUAUCUUAAUGUGAAUCUUUACGAAUGUUCACUAAAAUCAUGGAAGUUUGUGAACUAUCCAUAAGAAAGGACUCAUAAUUUACCUUUUUUCAUUUUAAGAAAACAAAUUUUGGGGGCUUUCCACAUAAAAGCAAGCCUUGCCUAAAAAGAAUUUGAGUAAUUGUAUUGAAAGGGUGUUUUCUAACAUGAUUAAAGAGUUCUUCCCGAAGUGUGUAUAGGAGAUCUGCAAAGCAAGCUUGUUGAUUUGCAUUGAAGAGCAAUUAUUUAUUAAUUUUUCGGACGGCCACAUUAUGCCAGACAAGAAGUUUAACAAUCUACAACGUACAACCUUUGGGAAUGACCAGUUUGAAACCCAAUUCUUUUUUUUUUUUUUGCAACAGAUUAUAUUUGAGCAACUAAUAAGAAAUUCAGUAAAGAUUAGGUGACCAUUGAUUAAACUAAGCCCAGAGGAUGGCCAAUGGACAAUGUAAUUGCCCUAAAACCCUAGUAACUAGGGUAGAUCACCAUCCACACAAAUUCUAAUAAUUUUAGGACCAAUUAAGAGUUUUUUUUUUUGGGGGGUGGGGGUUCAUCAUUUUAUUUAAAUUCCACAAUUAAUGAAAUAUAAGCAAUCAUGCUUAACCGUUCAACGAGGCAAUUUGAUUCUGAUUGAUAUCUUUAAAAAAUUACUAGGUUACGUAUCAAACAUAAAAAUGCUACAAUAAUGAAUCAUGUGUUAUUUCUAACUUGGAAAUGUUCAAAUGCAGAGAUCAUUGACAUAUUAAGCAAUGCAAUAUAUCUAACAUAUGAGAGGGAGUAGUAGUUACCUCAAGAGUGACUCAUCGACUAAAUCCAUCCUACUCGUUGUUCCAAUAAUAAAGAUAUUAUUACAUGCAUUGACGUCAUCAAUCUGGAUUAGAUAAGGUUUAUGAUUUAGUACACAGAAGGAAAAAAAUCCACGCUAAAAAAACUUAUUUUAAAUAAAGAAAGAAUUACCAUUCCGAACAAUUGAUGAACUAUCCCAGAGCCCUAUAAAAGAAAAAGGAAAAAUAAAAUCGUCAUGCUUUACUUUUAUCUAAGUGCACUAGAACCUACAAUGAAAUUCAGUCUCAUGCAUAACUUUUACCUGAGUGAAGGAAUCAAUUUCAUCAAAAAUGAUCAUGUGGAGAGGACUUUGAUCUCCUACAAAGGGCAAACAAAAAAUUACAAUUUCGUAUCCAAGUUUAAGGAAAACAAUAGGGAUAUAAUCAUAAUCAUCCUUUUUGUAUAUCCACUAAAGAAAUUGAUAAUAAUGCAAAUAUGUCAUACAAACCAUAUUUUUUAUAAUCAUUUGUAGCAUCAUCAAAUAGCUUUCUCAAACUGUGUUUUGAUUCAUCUACGUAGCUUGACAUCAACAUAGGCCCCAUAACAACCUAUAGAAGAAGGCACAUCAAAAACCAUAAGAUCCAAGCCAAAUAACUCUAGGAAGAAAAGACUUCGAAAAUAUGAGUUCAAUAUUUUCAUUUUGUAGCCAGUAAAAGAAAAUGUAACAAAUCAUAAAUCCACAAUUGCUUUCUGAAUAUUACUAAUGUAUGAGAGACAAAUAUAGGGGCAUGUAAAAAACUGACUCAUACAUAAAUUACGCAUAAGCAGCUAUCCUAUCUUCCCUCAAUUUGAUUUUUAGAACGUCUCAUUAUUCAUUAUAGCUAUUGCAGUUUAACAUCCAAGAUAUUGCCAAGUCAACAUUUUGUGUGCAUUUGUAUAAUUGAAAAGUGGGAGGGAGAAAAUCAGAUUCCUUAGCGUGUAGCAUCUUUGCAAGUGCUUUUGCCAAUAAUGUUUUCCCAGUUCCAGGUGGCCCAUGGAGAAGCAUCCCUUUAACAUUUUUGAUCUUUAACCUGCAAUGUCAAGAACACUGAUUUUAUGAAGUAGAAUCAAAUAACAGUGAAAACAAAAUGAUUUCAAAAUAAAAGGGCCAAAUGAU